rnacentral:lncRNA from 1 species
CUGCUCGUGGGAAGUGGAAUAGGAAGAUGGGAGGUUGUGUUGGUGGAGGAGGAGGAGAGGAAUAACGACUAAUCGCCGGGAAGCCGCGCCUGAUCUUCCGCCGUGCAAGUGUAGCGGAGUGGCUCAUUCCCUAUCUGCAACGAAGGGGGGAAAAUUGGGAGGAAAGUGGAGGACGUGUGAAGGUGGGAGGAGGAAGGGAGAGGAUGUGGGUGACCAACAAUUGAGAGUUUUCUAGAGAAUGCGGGAUAGGUCGGGAGAGGAAGAAAAUAUCUACCGACCAGAUCGGUUCAGAGAAAAAACCGCUACAAAAUCAGGAGAAAACUAUGGUGAAACCCAGGGACACAUGUCGCUUGAAGGGAGCAACGGUGCCUGGGAACGCACGGGAGCAGCCCCUGUUUAUAGCCAAUCUAAUUCUUGUAUGUAUGUAUCUAUGUUCACCUAUAUUAUUAUAUCUCAUAUUCUGCCAUCCAAAUUAAACAAGCCCUAUGUUGUUGGAGUCUUCAAGGUUGAUAUAUCUCGACUCUAUAUUUACAGAUCACAGCCCUCGUCGUUUUCUAUCAAUUCGAGAGUGUAAUUGAUGGAUUGCAAUUUGAAUUAAAUAAACUUGAACUUCAGAGCUGAAGUAAGUAUUCUCCCGCCCAUAUGAUUGCUUAUUCCUCAGAUCUAGCUUACUCCCUACCAUUGAAGUAUAAGUAAUCAUGGUCUACGGUAAAGGCACAUUUUCUCUAGGUAAAGUGGACUAUAUUAACUACUCCAUCCAUUCCUAAAUAUAAGUAUUUCUAGAGAUUCUAACAAGUGACUACAUACGGAGCAAAAUGAGUGAAUCUACACUUUAAAAUAUGUCUACAUACAUCUGUAUGUUGUUGCCAUUUGAAAUGUCUAAAAAGACUUACAUUUAGGAAUAGAGGGAGUAUAUGACUCACCGGUGGAACUGGUAGCAAUAGCCUAUGAAUAGUCAUGCGUCCACUUCUCACUUUUGCACGAACCAGUGAAUAUGUUUUAUGUAGAUGAAAAUGAAAUAACAAAAAACAACCCAAUAAUGUUUGAGAAAAACAAACAAGGCGAUUACAAAGUUAUAGAACUCCUCGCAAAGCUAGAGAAAGUAAUUCCACGGAUAGGCCAGAACAUAACUUAGCAACACCAUCGAACAUAAACUGUAGAUGCAUGCAGUUCUGAGUAUAAAAAACAGCAAGGUGGUGCAUUAGAUCUAGAUCUUCUCUUCUCACUUGUAUGAUACCCGCAGAUCACUCGGUGGAUUAGUCUGAUGGGUCGCCAUACUCAUAGUAAGUGUAGCCCUCCUCACCGUAAGGCGGCAGCAUCUGCAGUUCCGAGUACUCGAUAGUAGUGCAGUAAUUCACCAACAGCUCAGCCAUUUUAGAGAAAGGAUUUGUUGCAGAUUCAAAUACAUACUUGGGCUCCUCUUCCCAUCCACUGCCAGCGAGACUCCCUUGAUCAUAAGCUCGAACCACGGAGCGAUCCGCGUAGUAGAUUGUGCCAGAUUCGAUGGAGUGGAACUUGUUGGACUUCGUGGUGUCGAUGGAGAGGCACCUGCGCGAGCUGACAAACAGCGCAUGGCUACCGAUGCUUCUGACCGGCACGAGCACCUUGUUCACGGUGUCCACCUUGUGGACCACCGGCAUGCCAUUACAAACGCGCCCAUCCAUCACCAGAAGAAGCUCCCCCUCUGAUUCCACGAGAUAGAAGUUAUUGCUCUAUGGGCUAGCUCAAAAUUUGGGCCGACAAUGGUGGUGAACAUGGAGAUUGUCCCCGCGGAGCGUUUGCAUUGGUUACCUUCCUUGUACACGUCAGCGAUUGUUGAUAUGAUGGAUCCAUACUUAUUUGUGAUGUACAUGCCGCCUGCAAAGGAUGUCAAGUUCUUGUGACGAUUGCCAAAGCCCCAAUCCCCAGUCCUGAACUCCCCUUCUCCAAAACCCAAAGCGGGGUGCCAUUCCUCGCUUGUCUGAUCAGCCCAACUCACACAAUUGUUUAGCAGGUCUGAGAUGAACACCAUCAUUGGAGACGUUGUCACGACGACAGAGCUCACCUGUUCCAUGGGUAUAGGCACCUUGAAGCGUGCCAUGGCGCCCGUGAAAGGGUUGAGCACCCGAGUUUGGUAUGGCUGCGCUCUCUGCCCUAGCACGAAGAGUCCGCCUUUCGUGACGCUGACGAAAAAGUACCUCCGGCUGCGGACCUCCGUGGGGAUUUUCUUGCGGAGGAGGCGGCCUGUGCUAAGGUUGAAGAAGGCCACCCGGUCAUUGUCGUGGAUGGAGUGCUCCAGCAUGAUCCACUUGCUGGGCAUGAAUUUGGGGUCUGUGGCAUCUGCGGUGGAGUCUGUGGUUCGGCGCCAGUUGGCGCAGACAGCCCGGAAGGCGACAUAAUGGUCGAUAUCGUCCGUUGCGAGGAAGGAUUCACUGAUCUUCCUCGUGAUAUCAUAUGGGAGGUUUUUCCAGAACACCAGGUCCGCCAUGACUGGUUUCAGGUGGGUUGUGGAUGGACGAGGUAUUUCCUUUUGUGGGACACGGAGGCGGAGCUGCGGGCUACAAUCCUAUGCUUUUUGUGUGCUUGCGUCUGGAUGGAUUGGAUGGUGGCUAUAUAUAUACAUAUUCUUGGCGCGUCUUGCAGAAGUUUCAAACGUUGUGUGAAUACAUACAAGGUUUGAUGCGUUCGCUGGGUGACAUUUUUGGAAGAACUUGAAACCAAACGAACGUUGAGAACAGCUAGCUGUUAGCACCCAUCGUCAAGGCAUGCCCGGCGCUAUUACUUUCCAAAAAUGAAAAAGACUAGUGUUCGCUUCCAUACUGCAUACACGUACUGCACUAUUACUUUCCAAAACUGAAAUCGCCUAGUGUUCACAUGCAUACUGCGUACGUAUAUCAUUCCAUAUAUACUAUACAGCAAAUCAGACUGCAUUCCUAUUCCAUUGUAUUUGACUAAACUUCAGAAAAAAUAAUUCAAGUUUGCAAAGUUGUCUAAACCAUGUGCGCACGAGACAAAAGAAAGUGGCUGUCAAGUUUGGUUUCGAACACCGUACAGACGAAAGCACUCAUACAUACGCGCAUACGCUCAUCCUUAUGAAUGCACACACGGACAACCUACCCCUAUGAGCACUAUCGAGAGACUGAGCCGGCAUAUCAUCUUUACAUUUGCGAAGUCACCGUAGGCGCACCUAGUCGUCGACGGGAACAUCUGCUCCCACUGAAAGAGCAUCGUUGGAAAUUCUUAAAUAAAUCUAGAAAUAAUGCGAGCACCAUGAUAUGAACCCUGGUGGGCUGGGGAUACCACUGUCCUCUAUCAAUCCAACCACAGGUUUGUUCGCAAAGUGGAUGUUAAGUUAAUGGUACCAAAACACGUUCUCUGUGAUCAGACUUGGCUCACGGCAAGGCUGUUUCAUCCACUGAUGUGACAGCGGGGUAUCACCAGAGCUAUAUGUCUUCUUUGCAGCUGUCUAGGAAGUUUACCACUGAAUAAAUUAUGAAAGGAAAGAUGCAGUUGAGGGAGGAGGCCCCGCUGAUACAGCAUGCUGCAGUUGUACCUCAACCUUGGCCGAGACCACCAGUGGGUUGUGUCGCCUUAUCAGUGGAUGGAGCUUAUUCUAACUCAGACGGGUCGGCUGCUGCAGGUAUGAUCCUACGGCGAACUGAUGGUAGCGUUAUUUUUGCAGCCUACAGUUGCAUCUUCAAUUGCAAUGACGCUCUGGAGGCUGAGAUACAUGCCUUAAUGCAAGGUAUGGCCUUGGCUAUUCAACACUCUGAGUUGCCGGUCAUUGUUCAGUCAGACUCCUCAGAAGCACUCCUGGUGUUGAAAGGAGACAAUCUUUCCCGCUCUGCUUAUGGACAUCUAGUUGCUGAGAUCCAAUUUCUCAUGGGUGAAAGGGAGUUUAUUCCUUCGAAAAUUAAACGUGAUCAGAAUAGGGUUGCAGACUGGUUGGCUAUGUAGAGUCCUACGGAGAGUACUACUGCUGUAUGGCUAGGUAGGAGUCCACCCUGUGUGGAGGAACUUGUGCCACUCGAUUGUAACCCUAUAUUAUUGGAAUAAAAUCCUUUUACCCUCGCAAAAAAACACGUUCUCUGUUUUUUUUUUUGAGAAAAAUGGUACAACCUUAAUAUUCUAUAGAUUGAUAGAUGUAUCUCUAACAUCUGAUCGAUGACGAUCAACAGGACCAAAACGUUUUCCUCAUACUUGCGCUCCAAGGAGACGAGGGUUUUCCAGCCGCCUUCUACCGAUGGCAAUGGAUCUGCCUCGCCUCCCGUAUCCUUAGGGCGAUGGAGGCACAAUGGGUAACGGCCCGUUCCUGCAGGAGGGCUCCUCCUCCGUUUUCAGAUGUCUUUUUGAGUCUAUUUAGAGUUUGUGUCCUGCCUAGGAAUAUGAGACGGCGGUGGUUUUCUAAAGAUGAAAUAAGGUUCUCUUCGCCUAGUCUCCAUCCCCAUGGUGUCUCUAUCGUCGUUGGAGGGUGCAUGGAUGUGCAUCUCUAGUUAAGCUCGCACGAUUUAAUCGGUGUUUGUCUUCGGUUGAUCUGCUUGGAUCUGGUCAUCCUUCAUCAGCAUUCGUUUGUCUAUAGGUUGGGUCCUUCCAAUCUAUGCUUCUCUUCAUUAUUGCCGGUUGUCUUUCUGCUUUGAUGGUCCAUUGGGGCCUUCACAUGGCAAAUUCCUAUCUGGCUACUACAACAAGAUUUGCUCGUCCCCGUUGAGAAAGGGGUGAUGACGGCGGCACGCCUUUGGUUCCUUUUAGUGCUUAUUGUCCUGGCUUUGUAGUCUAUAGACAUGGAUGUAAUUUCAAUUACUUCUGAUGUUGUUUAUACUACUAUAAUGUUUGAUGAAUAGAUCGGAAGUUUUUCUCAGAUUUUUUUUCCUGAUAGGUGAAAUUGAGUCCGUAAUGAGGGUUUUAGGGGAGCGCCCAGGGGGAGGGGGGAAUACUAUUACUUGUGUAAUGCGUGUUGUAACUCGAGAAUGCCAACAGUGCUGUAGUAAAUGGGCCGGCCCAAGAAACGUAGAUGCGUCUGAUGCUUCUUCGUUCGCUUCAUUUUGAUUGUUGGUUGUUUCAAUUUUUCCCUUUUCUACUCUCAUUUAUAUUAUGAAAUAUUCUAAAUAUAAAUUUUUAUAUUUAAAAUGUUUAUGCACUGUCAAAAAAGCGUUAGUGCAAUGUUUCAAUAUAUUUGACUGCAUAAGAAAUUGUGCAUGCAUUUUAAGUAAAAUGUUUGUGAAGUUUUUAUAAAUGUUUGAAAAUUUUCAAACACUUGUCGCGUGAUUAAGAAAAAUUGUAUCAUUAAAAUGAUGAUCGUGAGACUUUAAAUAUAAAUAAUUUUAAAAGGUUUAUACAAUGUAAAAUAAUAUUCGUCAAAUUCAAAUAAAUGUUGUGACACUAAAUAUAUGUUCAACCUGUAAUUUAAUUUUUUACACUUAUUCAAAAAAUCCGUUCGAAAACAUGUAUUUGAAAAAAGAAAAUAAGUAAAAUCGAUAAAAACCGGUGAAAGAAACAUAAAAAAUGAGGGAAAUCGGUGAAAGAAACGCAAAAACCGGCAUAGAAAAAAAGGAUACCGUAGAAAGACAAAACAUGAAAAAGAAAAAGAAAGAGAAAAAGAAAAGAGGAAAACCAGAAAAAUCGUGGAAACAAACGCUGAUACUGAAAAACCACAACAAAUACUGAUGAAACCCACUACAGAAACAAACAAACAAAAUACCGAAUGAUUUUUUACGAAAGCAAACAAAAUGGUUACAAAGUUGCAGAAAGUACUACUAGGAAAAUGCUUAUGGAUAGAGUUUUACCAGUAGCGUUUGUUUAUGACCCCACGCUACUAGUAGUUAGUAGUAGCGCAGGGUAGAAAGGGAUCAUUGCCUUAGAUAUCUUCAUAACUAUGCGAUUUUCUAUCAAUUGCUCGGCAGUAAUUUGUUCACCCACCGUAAUACAUGCUAUCUUGAGAGAAGCCACUAGUGAAACAUAUGGCCCCCGGGUCUCUUUCCUAUUAUAUUGCAUCCCUUUUAUUUACAUCGCAUCUCGUUUACUAUUUUUCAAUCUUUACUUUCCAAUCUAUACAACAAAAAUACCAAAAUAAUUACUUUACUAUCUCUAUUAUAUCUCACUUUUGCGAGUGACCGUGAAGGGAUUGACAACCCCUUUAUCGCAUUGGUUGCAAGGUUCUUGAUCGUUUGUGUAGGUACUAGGUGACUUGUGCAUUGUCUCCUACUGGAUUGAUACCUUGGUUCUCAAAACUGAAGGAAAUACUUACGCUACUUUGCUGCAUCACCCUUUCCUCUUCAAGGGAAAACCAACGCAUGCUCAAGAGAUAGCAAGAAGGAUUUCUGGCGCCGUUGCCGGGGAGAUCUACGCCAAGUCAAGACAUACCAAGUACCCAUCAUAAACUCUUCUCCCUCGCAUUACAUUAUUUGCCAUUCGCCUCUCGUUUUCUUCUCCCCCACUUCUAAAACGAUUUUUGAAAUUCGCUUGCUUCUUGUGCAUCCGUGUGUUAGAUCGUUUGUUUCACCUUCAUGGCUAGUCCUCCUAUCAUUGUUAAUACUCCCGAUAAUGAAGUUCUCAAUUUUAAACAAAGGGAGGGAGAAAAUCUAAAAGAUGCUUGGUAUAGAAUUUGCAAUGCUCAAAAUAGAUCUACUAGAAAGCAAUCCACUUCCGUUCUUCUUCGCAAUUUCUACGUAGGCAUCACUCCUUGGAAUAGAUAUGUUCUUGACACCAUUACCGGAGGUGAUUUCUUGGGAAGCCAUACUUUUGAUUCUUAUAAUGCUAUCAUAGAUUUGUUUCUCCCACCACCUCUUUUGGUCAAUGGAACUAUUUUAACUUUGGAACAUGUGAUGCAAAGGCUUGAUAUUAUUGAAAAUAAAAUUUCCACUAUAGAGUUAACUGAAAAUUUGGAUAAAAAGAUCCGCAACCAAAUUACCCAAUAUGGAUCUAAAGUAUGAUUUACUCUUAAAAAUCUUAGGGAAAAGGAACCCAUAGUUAAUGAGAAGAUAGAUCAAGAUUCCGCUAGAAUUGAUAAACUCGAAGAUAUUAUUACCAACUUGGGGUCCGCUUUUUCUGCCGUUAAAAAUACCUCAAAUCCUCCUCCUACCAAAGUUGCCAACUUUAUCUAUGUUCCUAAAAAUAAGGGUGAAUCUUCUAGUAAGGAAAAUGAAGACCACAAAUCAAUAAGUGUUCACCCUAACUUUUUCGAUAUCAUUAAGGAACCUUUUGCUUCAAAUGAAUUUCUUGAUUUCUUGCCUAGGAGUUUCAUCAUUAACAAAACCAAAGAACCUCCUAAGGGUUAUGUGUGUUCAAUUGAAGAAUUGCAUACCAAAGAUGGCAAUACCUAGAUCUAUUCCUGUUUUUAUGCCUAGCUAGGGGCGUUAAACGAUAGCGCUUGUUGGGAGGCAGCCCAAUUUUAUUUUUGUUCUUUGCUUUUUGCUCCUGUUUAGUAAUAAAUAAUUCAUCUAGCUUCUAUUUAUAUGUGGUUUUAUGUUUUAAUUAGUGUUUGUGCCAAGUAGAACCUUUGGGAAGACUUGGGUGAAGUCUUUGCGAUCUUGCUGUAAAAAACAGAAACUUUUGCGCUCACCAGAUUAGCUAUAAUUUUUUACUGGAGUGUCAUUUUAGGUUUAUUCUUUUUGAAGAUGAUUAAUAGAAAAAUUACUCACGUCCACAAAUUUAUUUCAGAAUUUUUGGAGUUACAUAAGUAUUCGAAAGUUACAGAUUGCUACAGACUAUUCUGUUGUUGACAGAUUCUAUUUUUCGUGUGUUGNNNNNNNNNNNNNNNNNNNNNNNNNNNNNNNNNNNNNNNNNNNNNNNNNNNNNNNNNNNNNNNNNNNNNNNNNNNNNNNNNNNNNNNNNNNNNNNNNNNNNNNNNNNNNNNNNNNNNNNNNNNNNNNNNNNNNNNNNNNNNNNNNNNNNNNNNNNNNNNNNNNNNNNNNNNNNNNNNNNNNNNNNNNNNNNNNNNNNNNNNNNNNNNNNNNNNNNNNNNNNNNNNNNNNNNNNNNNNNNNNNNNNNNNNNNNNNNNNNNNNNNNNNNNNNNNNNNNNNNNNNNNNNNNNNNNNNNNNNNNNNNNNNNNNNNNNNGAACCAUAGAGAAUUUGUAAUACAGUAGGUUUAACUCCAAUAUAAAUAAAGAAUGAGUUCAUUACAGUACCUUAAAGUGGUGGUUUAUUUUCUUAUACUAACGGAGCUCAUGAGAUUUUCUGUUGAAGUUUUGUGUUGUGAAGUUUUCAAGUUUUUGGGUAAAGAUUUGAUGGAUUUUGGAAUAAGGAGUGGCAAGAGCCAAAUCUUGGGGAUGCCAAAGGAACCCUAAGGUAAAUUUCAAGGACAACCAAAAGCCUAAGCUUGGGGAUGCCCUAGAAGGCAUCCCCUCUUUCGUCUUCGUCUAUCGGUAACUUUACUUGAGGCUAUAUUUUUAUUCACCACAUGAAAUGUGUUUUGUUUGGAGCGUCUUGUAUGAUUUGAGUCUUUGCUUUUUAGUUUACCACAAUCAUCCUUGCUGUACACACCUUUUGGGAGAGACACGCAUGAAUCGGAAUUUAUUAGAAUACUCUAUGUGCUUCACUUAUAUCUUUUGAGCUAGAUAAUUUUGCUCUAGUGCUUCACUUAUAUCCUUUUAGAGCACGGUGGUGGUUUUAUUUUAUAGAAAUUAUUCAUCUCUCAUGCUUCACUUAUAUUAUUUUGAGAGUCGUUUAGAACAGCAUGGUAAUUUGCUUUGGCUACAAAACUAGUCUAAUAUGAUGGGUAUCCAAGAGGGAUAUAAUAAAAACAUUAAUAUAAAGUGCAUUGAAUACUAUGAGAAGUUUGAUUCCUUAUGAUUGUUUUGAGAUAUGAAGAUGGUGAUAUUAGAGUCAUGCUAGUUGAGUAGUUGUGAAUUUGAGAGAUACUUGUGUUAAAGUUUGUGAUUCCCGUAGCAUGCACAUACGGUGAACCGUUAUGUGAUGAAGUCGGAGCAUGAUUUAUUCUUUGAUUGUCUUCCUUAUGAGUGGUGGUCGGGGACGAGUGAUGGUCUUUUCCUACCAAUCUAUCCCCCUAGGAGCAUGCGCGUAGUACUUCGUUUUGAUAACUAAUAGAUUUUUGCAAUAAGUAUGUGAGUUCUUUAUGACUAAUGUUGAGUCCAUGGAUUAUACGCACUCUCACCCUUCCACUUGCUAGCCUCUCUUGUGCCACGCAACUUUCGUCGGUACCAUAUACCCACCAUAUACCUUCCUCAAAACAGCCACCAUACCUACCUAUUAUGGCAUUUCCAUAUCCAUUCCAAGAUAUAUUGCCAUGCAACUUUCCACCGUUCCGUUUAUUAUGACACGCUUCAUCAUUGUCAUAUUGCUUUGCAUGAUCAUGUAUUUGACAUCGUAUUUGUGGCAAAGCCACCUUAAUAAUUCUUUCAUACAUGUCACUCUCGAUUCAUUGCACAUCCCGGUACAUCGACGGAGGCACUCAUAUAGAGUCAUAUUUUGUUCCAAGUAUCGAGUUGUAAUUCUUGAGUUGUAAGUAAAUAAAAGUGUGAUGGUGAUGGUCAUCAUUAUUAGAGCAUUGCCCCAUGUGAGGAAAGGAUGAUGGAGACUAUGAUUCCCCCACAAGUCGGGAUGAGACCCGGACGAAAAAUAAAAAAAAAGAAAGAAAAAAGAGGCCAUAAAAAAGAGAUGGCCCCCAAAAAAACAAAAAAAAGAGAGAAAAAGAGAGAAGGGGCAAUGCUACUAUCCUUUUACCACACUUGUGCUUCAAAGUAGCACCAUGAUCUUCAUGAUAGAGAGUCUCCUAUGUUGUCACUUUCAUAUACUAGUGGGCAUUUUCGUUAUAGAACUUGGCUUGUAGAUUCCAAUGAUGGGCUUCCUCAAAAUGCCCUAGGUCUUUGUGAGCAAGCGAGUUGGAUGCACACCCACUUAGUUCCUUUUUGAGCUUUCAUACACUUAUAGCUCUAGUGCAUCCGUUGCAUGGCAACCCAACUGACUCACAUUGAUAUCUAUUGAUGGGCAUGUCCGUAAGCCCGUGGAUACGCCUAGUUGAUGUGAGACUAUCUUCUCCUUUUUGUCUUCUCCACAACCACCAUUCUAUUCCACCUAUAGUGCUAUGUCCAUGACCCACGAUCAUGUAUUGCGUGAAGAUUGAAAAAGUUUGAGAACAUCAAAAGUAUGAAAAAAUUACUUGGCUUGUCAUUGGGGUUGUGCAUGAUUUAAAUAUUUUGUGUGAUGAAGAUAGAGCAUAGCCAGACUAUAUGAUUUUGUAGGGAUAGCUUUCUUUGGCCAUGUUAUUUUGAGAAGACAUGAUUGCUUUAUUAGUAUGCUUGAAGUAUUAUUGUUUUUAUGUCAAUAUUAAUUAAACUUUUGUUUUGAAUCUUAUGGAUCUGAACAUUCAUGCCACAAUAAAUAAAAUUACAUUGAUAAUUAUGUUAGGUAGCAUUCCACUUCAAAAAAUUUGUUUAUAUCAUUUACCUACUCGAGGACGAGCAGGAAUUAAGCUUGGGGAUGCUUCAUACGUCUCCAACGUAUCUAUAAUUUUUUAUCGUUCCAUGCUAUUAUAUUAUAUGUCUUGGAUGUUUAAUGGGCUUUAAUAUGCUCUUUUAUAUUAUUUUUGGACUAACCUAUUAACCGGAGGCCGAGUGCCAGUUUCUGUUUUUUUGCCUAUUUUAAAGUUUUGCAGAAAAGGAAUACGAAACGGAGUCCAAACGGAAUGAAACCUUCGCGAUGAUCUUUCUUGGACCGAAAGGAAUACAGAAGACUUGGAGUCGAAGUCUGGAACUUCACGAGGAGGCCAUGAGGCUGGAGGGCGCGCCCAGGGGGGUAGGCGCGCCCCCCNNNNNNNNNNNNNNNNNNNNNNNNNNNNNNNNNNNNNNNNNNNNNNNNNNNNNNNNNNNNNNNNNNNNNNNNNNNNNNNNNNNNNNNNNNNNNNNNNNNNNNNNNNNNNNNNNNNNNNNNNNNNNNNNNNNNNNNNNNNNNNNNNNNNNNNNNNNNNNNNNNNNNNNNNNNNNNNNNNNNNNNNNNNNNCCCCACCCUCGUGGGCCCCUCGUAGCUCCACCGACGUAUUUAUUUUUCCUAUAUAUACUCUUAUACCCUGGAAACAUCAGGGGGAGCCACCAAACAACUUUUCCACCACCGCAACCUUCUGUACCCGUGAGAUCCCAUCUUGGGGCCUUUUCCGGCGAUCUGCCGGAGGGGGAAUUGAGAUCACGGAGGGCUUCUCCAUCAACACCAGUGCCUCUUUGAUGAAGCGUGAGUAGUUUACCACAGACCUUCGGGUCCAUAGUUAUUAGCUAGAUGGCUUCUUCUCUCUCUUUGAUUCUCAAUACAAAGUUCUCCUCGAUGUUCUUGGAGAUCUUUUCGAUGUAAUACUCUUUUGCGGUGUGUUUGCCGAUAUCCGAUGAAUUGUGGAUUUAUGAACAAGAUUAUCUAUGAAUAUUAUUUGGUUCUUCUCUGAAUUCUUAUAUGCAUGAUUUGAUAUCUUUGCAAGUCUCUUCGAAUUAUCGGUUCAGUUUGGCCUACAGAUUGAUCUUUCUUGCAAUGGGUGAAGUGCAUAGCUUUGGGUUCAAUCUUGCGGUGUCCUUUCCCAGUUAUAGUAGGGGCAGCAAGGAACAUAUUGUAUUGCUGCCAUCGAGGAUAAAAAGAUGGGGUUUAUAUCAUAUUGCUUGAGUUUAUCCCUCUACAUCAUGUCAUCUUGCUUAAUGCGUUACUCCUUUCUUAUGAACUUAAUACUCUAGAUGUAUGUUGGAUAGCGGUAGAUGCAGAAUCGUUUCGUUCUACUUUACACGGACGUGAUGCCUAUAUUCAUGGUCAUUGCUUUAGAUAUGUUCAUAACUAUGCGCUUUUCUAUCAAUUGCUCGGCAGUAAUUUGUUCACCCACCAUAAUACAUGCUAUCUUGAGAGAAGCCAUUAGUGAAACCUACGGCCCCUGGGUCUCUUUCCUAUUAUAUUGCAUCUCUUUUAUUUACAUCGCAUCUCGUUUACUAUUUUGCAAUCUUUACUUUCCAAUCUAUAGAACAAAAAUACCAAAAAUAUUUACUUUACUAUCUCUAUUAGAUCUGACUUUUGCGAGUGACCGUGAAGGGAUUGACAACCCCUUUAUCGCGUUGGUUGCAAGGUUCUUGAUUGUUUGUGCAGGUACUAGGUGACUUUUGCGUUGUCUCCUAGUGGAUUGAUACCUUGGUUCUCAAAACUGAGGGAAAUAAUUAUGCUACUUUGCUGCAUCACCCUUUCCUCUUCCAGGGAAAACCAACGCAUGCUCAAGAGGUAGCAGGGGGUUCUCGUCCUGUAAGCUGGGUUCCACCACGCGGCGGCCGGCUUCUUGCUGCGCGGCGGCCGCGUCGAUGAGCUGCUGGAUGCGCUCCGUCAUGCAACGACGCUCGUCGCCGUCCAGGUGGUCUAGCUCGUCUGCUGCCACCUGGGCGGCGUGUAGGUUCUCGAUAGGCAUGGUGUAGACAGGUUGGUCGGCCCCCAGCAUGCUAGCGAUGGCGGCGCCGCAUUGUCGGACCAUGCCCACGCGGCUGGGUUGUCCAACAGCCGGCGUGCUGCAGACGGCGUGGUCGAUCUCGCGCUGGUAGGCUUCGGUGAGGCGUCUCAUAGUCGCUAGCUUGUUGGCGCUCUCGAGGAGGGCAACGCGGCACGCUUCCAGUGUCUCACUGUUUGCACCGGGCUCUACGGGCGCGGACAGGUCCCUCAUUGCCACCUGCAACGGGUCCUGGCCGGCACCAUCAGAGGCUCCAUCAUGGCUGAUGACCAGCACCUCCGCGACGGUGCUGGUGCUGGCGCUGCUGCCAGCGGCUGGGAGUGGAUCGUCGAAGAUCACCACUUCAUCGGGGAAGGUGUCAGAAGGCGCGGCGUCAGUGUCGAUGACCAUGUCGACUGGCGGGUCUGUGGAGCCAACGGACUCCCGGUCGUUGGUCGGCUUGUUGGCGAUGUGAAGCUUGCCAAGGAGGUCGACAAGGCAGCUCUCGGAGCUGGCUGCGCCCGUGUCGGGUGCGGGCUAGUCAGAGAGGCGGAUCCCGCCGAUGAGAUCAGUGAGGCAGCUUGCGGCGCACACUACUAGGAAAAGGCCUGCUAGUGGCGCACCUGUUUUGGCUACUAUUGGCGCACUACAGGUGCGCCACUAGCAUCACGCCAUUAGAAUUUAAUACUAAUGGCGCACCAGGGAGUGCGCCAUUAGUAUAUCCCACGGUGCGCCAUUACUAUCUGACUUACUAAUGGCGCACCACAUAGAAGUGCGCCAUUACUAACAUUUCUUUUCAAAAAAAAUUCAUUAUUAUUAUUUUUUUCUUAAUCUCGGGUCACUAUGGCUUAAUCUCCGGUCAAUAUGCUUAAUCUCAAGGCAAAUCACACUAAGUGGUCAAACUUCCCGGAAGGUCACCCAUCCUCACACUACUCCGGUCCGAGCACGCUUAACUUCGCAGUUCUAUCCAACCCCAGCACCACCUCACUUAACAGGCACUUGUUGAUAUAUCUUUCAUAUCAAUCCUAUUAAACCUUGUUGAUGUCUAUGACUUUGUUCAUGUUCAUGAGUAUGAUGAAAUUUUGAAAAAUAUUUCAAACUUCCCAGUCAUAUUACGUAUCAUUUUUUGAAAAAAAAUUCCAAAAAAAAGUUCGAAACCAAUUUUUUUCUGUUACUAGUGGCGCACCUAGCAAAUGGUGCGCCACUAGUAAGUUUGAAAUUUUUUCAUUUUUUCCCCUCUAGAAGAAAAUGAAGAAGAAGAAGAAGAAGACUAGAAGAAUACUAGAAGAAGACUAGAAGAAUACUAGAAGAAGAAGAAGAAGACUAUAAUUAAGCUUAUUAUGUAAACUUGGUCAUUUUGUGCUAACAUAAGUAAUUUUGGAGUUAACCUAUAGGAAACUAAGCAUAUUAGAGAUAACUUAGCAUAUUAGAGCCAACUUAGCUAAAAUGGAGCCAACCUACCUAAAUAUGCCAUCUUUGAGUGAACUAAGCAUAUUAGAGCUAACUUAUAGCUAACUUAUGUCAUUUUGGAGAAGAAGAAGAAUAAGAAGAAGACUAUAAUUAAGCUUAUUAUGUAAACUUGGUCAUUUUGUGCUAACAUAAGUAAUUUUGGAGCUAACCUAUAGGAAACUAAGCAUAGUAGAGAUAACUUAGCAUAUUAGAGCCAACUUAGGUAAAAUGGAGCCAACCUAGCUAAUUAUGCCAUCUUUGAGUGAACUAAGCAUAUUAGAGCUAACUUAUGUCAUUUUUGAGAAGAAGAAAAAGAAGAAGAAUAUAUGACAUUUAUGAGCUAAUUUAGGUGAAAUUGAUCGUUUGUGAGCUAACCUAGGUGAAAUGGAUCGUUUAUGAGCUAAUCUAGGUAAAAUGGGUCAUUUUAGAGCUAACUUGGGUAAAAUGCAUCAUUUUGGAGCUAACCUAGGUAAGAUGGGUCAUUUUGGAGCUAACCUAGGUAAAGUGGGUUAUUUUAGAGCUAACAUAGGUAAAAUGGAUCAUUUUGGAGCUAGUCUAGGUAAAAUGGUUCAUUUUAGAGCUAACUUCGGUAAAAUUGAUCAUUUAUGAGCUAACUAAGGUAAAAUGGGUCAUUUUAGAGCUAACUUGGGUAAAAUGGAUUGUUUAUGAGCUAACUAAGCUAAUUAUGCUAAGUCUAGGUCAUUGUGGUAAGCAUAUUGGAGGAAAUAAGGCUAAGUCUAAAAAUAAGGCUAAGUCUAGGUCUUUAUGCAUUUGUUAAGCAAAACACUAGAGAAACUUACAAUGAUCAUGGAGGUGUAGGAGCGGGCUGGCUCGUGCCGGUAGCUGGAGAAGGAUCGUGCGAUGCUUGUCUGGAGUUACGCUGCACCAAAGAUCAUUUCCAAUGUCUCGUUAGCAUGAUGACACUCAAAUGUUAAGACUAGCAAGUAAUGUCCAUUCAAAUUAAACUCACCGUGGUCCCAGGAGCAAUCACUAGCAUCGGCGGAGCGGUCUGACCGGUCUUCUCGCACACAGACUGCACAUUUGGUUUUGACGACUCAGUCAUACUAGUUAGUAAUGAGACAAACACUACAUGAAUGUUUUGGCUAAUCUGCAGAAGAAACUUACCACAAGGAGCUUGUACAUGGCCCUUGCCUGCAUGUCAUUCCGUGCCCUCUCCUCCUCCAACAUCUUUGUCAUCCUCUCCUCCAACUCCCGCUGCCUCUCCGCCGCCUCCGCCAGAAGAUUCUCCGUUCUAUCUCUCUCACUCUGUAUAGCAGCCUGCAACACCACUCCUCGUUACCAUUUGUAAUCAUUGAUGGAAGCACACACAUUGUAAUGGAGAAAGAUAGCUGAGUACGUAUAACUAACCUUGAUGGCGAGUUGGACUGGCCGUUCACGAGGCCUUAUCUCAGGAGCGGAGCUUGACUGGCGCGCCUUGAUCUCCGGGAGAGUGCUAGGACAACGGAUAAGUCCAUCUCCAAUGGCUAUGGAGCCAUGGGACCUCCCGCCACCAGAUAUCAUCACCAGCUCUGGAUCAAUGGGACCCUGGCUCGGGUUAAAGUCCUCCCCUUUCCUCGCCUUCCCCUCAUCUCUAUAUUUCACGAGCUUGUCGUGGGAGGAGAUGUUGGUGAAGUUGUUUGCAUCAUCGAGGUUAGACGGAGAGAAUGCCUUGGCUUUCUUGAAAGAGGCAGUGUGGGCCAUGGCAUACAGGUCGUACACCUCUCGCACCUUAUCCGCCUUAUUGUAGCAUGCCUGAAAGAGAGAAAUAAAGUAAAUUAGUAAUUAAAGGGCUCAAGCUAGCAUGAUGAAUGAAUUGCAUGAAUCAUGAAGCAAACCACAUACCCAGUUCCGCCCGAACUGAUAUAAGUUGGAGCUGCCUUGAUGGUGUGGCACACCUUCCAUUUGGGCACGUUUGUCCUUGGCCGCGUUGUGGACGGCUAGCCAUUCUUUUGAGCACCACUCAUUGACCAACACCUCCCAACAAUCCAUCCGAUCUGCACACCAUCUCGGAGGCGCCUAAGUUAGCAAAUGGAAACUUGAGCGCUACGGCUAUGAAUUACUAAAUGAAGGAAGUAAGUACAAGGCCUUAAGAAUUACCUUCAUGUACUGAUCCUUACUUAGGAACUUACCGCGGCACGCCGGCUUGGGCUUCUUGACACCACGCAAGGCGUAGUAGUCACGAACAACCUGCACCUGAGCCUCGUGCCGUAAGUUCUGUAGUAGGCGCUUGCAGACGUUCUCGAUAACAUUUGGCGCCUCCUCCUCGUAUCCCUCCUCACACCUAUAGAAUGUCUGCAAGAAAAUGAGACAAUAUUGAUUAGUACAAUUAAUAACUAGCUAGUUGAAAAAAUUUAAAUGUGUAAAGGAGAAAUUACCCAGAACUUCCUGAUCACCACGUCUGCCCUCGUGUCGCACAAGACACCAUCGAUAAUCUCACCCGGCGGGGCCGGAGCAGCCAAGUAGUGCUCCCAGCUCAAUCCAAGCUCUGGAAGCCGACCCUCACCAGGCAACGUGACAAACCCCGGGAAGUUUUGCCGGCAAAGCACUCCAAGGACGGAGUUGGGCCGGCGGACACUAUGAUGGUGGUCCCAACCCCUACAGCAUGACAAGGCCAACGCAUUAGAUAUUUGAAGAAACGUGAAUGCAGAAGGUACAAACACAUUAAAUGCACUUACCUCUCCCCAUCAGGGUAAAUCAACCACCUCUGCUCGCGGGUCGCCGGCACGGACGGGAGCCGUGUACAACCACGCUGGUAGACGGUGCCCCCCUCCUCCUCAAUAUCAGUCGGCUCCCCGGGAUCAUCAGCAUGGCCACUCGGCCCCUCAGGCUCAUCCGGCCAGGUACCCCAUCCAGACGUGUGCUCCUCCGGGGUCUCGUGGGCCGAAGGCCCAUCGACCCGAGGCUCGUGGACCGGAGUCCGUGUAGCCUCCUCGUCGGACGAGUCCACCCUAGCAGUCACGUGCUCGGGUGAAACAGCUGGGGGUGGCGCCGAGGUAGGCGCCCUAGCAGUCACCCUACCUCCUCUCCCGCGACCACGUGCUCCUCUCUUCAUCCCUCCCUUACCUAGUCUCCUACCGGGCACCGCUGUCGACGAAGAAGGCCCGGCGGUGUCGCCACACUGUCCAGCAACGGUCGGCGGAUAGGUGCGUGUGGAAUGGAAGACCUCCCACCACGCGCCGACGAAGAAGGGGCCUCGGAGCGCUCCCGACCAGCGCCCACCAUCUUUGAACACCUGCCAUGACAAAGAGUAAACGAAAUUAGUACAACAUAAAAAAAAUUACAGACAUGAAUAAUAAUAUAUGAUGUUUUUCAUAACAAAAUCAAAAAAUAUAUAUGAUGUUUAAAUCUACCCAAUCAACACAAUUAUAUAUGAUGUUUCUCAUAACAAAAUCGAUAAAUAUAUGAUAUCAGGGUGUCGGGGGUCGGGGUCGGGGUGUCGUGCCGGGGUGUCGGGGUGGUGUGUCGGGGUCGGGGUGCCGUGUCAGGUCGGGGUGCUGUUUCGGGGUCUGGGUGUCGGGGGUCGGGGUUACGCAUACUGAUGAUUCAAGACAGAUAUAUAGCUAGCUAUCAAGUUUCAUCGGCACGAACACCGGAACAGAGCAAAUAAUUAAGGGGGAGGAGGACAUGUCAUUUGUGCUCACCCACGAACGAAGGGGCAGAGAUCUUCAAACGCACGGGGAGGUCGUCGAGCACCAAACCUCGCAGUGAUGAAACAACUGCACAUUUAAAUCUACCCGAUCAACACAAUUAGAUAUGAUGUUUUUCAUAACAAAAUCGAAAAAUAUAUGACCUAACUCAUAAUUCAGAAAUAUAUGACCCCGUCGGCCUCUAGAAGGCCAAAGAGCACCUUUUUGGGAGGUGUCGGGGGUCGGGGUGUCGUGUCGGUGUCGGGAUGCCGUGUCGGGGUCGGGGUGCCGUGUCGGGGUCGGGGUGCUGUUUCGGGGUCGGGGUGUNNNNNNNNNNNNNNNNNNNNNNNNNNNNNNNNNNNNNNNNNNNNNNNNNNNNNNNNNNNNNNNNNNNNNNNNNNNNNNNNNNNNNNNNNNNNNNNNNNNNNNNNNNNNNNNNNNNNNNNNNNNNNNNNNNNNNNNNNNNNNNNNNNNNNNNNNNNNNNNNNNNNNNNNNNNNNNNNNNNNNNNNNNNNNNNNNNNNNNNNNNNNNNNNNNNNNNNNNNNNNNNNNNNNNNNNNNNNNNNNNNNNNNNNNNNNNNNNNNNNNNNNNNNNNNNNNNNNNNNNNNNNNNNNNNNNNNNNNNNNNNNNNNNNNNNNNNNNNNNNNNNNNNNNNNNNNNNNNNNNNNNNNNNNNNNNNNNNNNNNNNNNNNNNNNNNNNNNNNNNNNNNNNNNNNNNNNNNNNNNNNNNNNNNNNNNNNNNNNNNNNNNNNNNNNNNNNNNNNNNNNNNNNNNNNNNNNNNNNNNNNNNNNNNNNNNNNNNNNNNNNNNNNNNNNNNNNNNNNNNNNNNNNNNNNNNNNNNNNNNNNNNNNNNNNNNNNNNNNNNNNNNNNNNNNNNNNNNNNNNNNNNNNNNNNNNNNNNNNNNNNNNNNNNNNNNNNNNNNNNNNNNNNNNNNNNNNNNNNNNNNNNNNNNNNNNNNNNNNNNNNNNNNNNNNNNNNNNNNNNNNNNNNNNNNNNNNNNNNNNNNNNNNNNNNNNNNNNNNNNNNNNNNNNNNNNNNNNNNNNNNNNNNNNNNNNNNNNNNNNNNNNNNNNNNNNNNNNNNNNNNNNNNNNNNNNNNNNNNNNNNNNNNNNNNNNNNNNNNNNNNNNNNNNNNNNNNNNNNNNNNNNNNNNNNNNNNNNNNNNNNNNNNNNNNNNNNNNNNNNNNNNNNNNNNNNNNNNNNNNNNNNNNNNNNNNNNNNNNNNNNNNNNNNNNNNNNNNNNNNNNNNNNNNNNNNNNNNNNNNNNNNNNNNNNNNNNNNNNNNNNNNNNNNNNNNNNNNNNNNNNNNNNNNNNNNNNNNNNNNNNNNNNNNNNNNNNNNNNNNNNNNNNNNNNNNNNNNNNNNNNNNNNNNNNNNNNNNNNNNNNNNNNNNNNNNNNNNNNNNNNNNNNNNNNNNNNNNNNNNNNNNNNNNNNNNNNNNNNNNNNNNNNNNNNNNNNNNNNNNNNNNNNNNNNNNNNNNNNNNNNNNNNNNNNNNNNNNNNNNNNNNNNNNNNNNNNNNNNNNNNNNNNNNNNNNNNNNNNNNNNNNNNNNNNNNNNNNNNNNNNNNNNNNNNNNNNNNNNNNNNNNNNNNNNNNNNNNNNNNNNNNNNNNNNNNNNNNNNNNNNNNNNNNNNNNNNNNGGUCGGGGAGAGACAGAAACAGAGAGAUGGAGGGGCGGGGUGGGGCUCGGCCGUUAGUUAGGUUAGCUCUUUGCCGUCCGCCCCACCUUUGCCGUCCGCUUUUUUUCUCUUUGCCGUCUGCUGGCAGACGACAAAAAAGGGGGCCCGUUAAGUUUUUUAUGAUCAGCUCGUUAGCGGGGGCCACCUCUCUCUUUGCCGUCUGCCAGCUGACGGCAAAGAAUUGGCUGAUGGCAAAGACUUUCUUUGCCAUCAGCCAGUUCGUUGCCGUCCGUUUUCCUGAAGCGGACGGCAAAGACCUUCUUUGCCGUUAGCCAGCAAACGGCAAAGAACUGGCAGACGGCAAAUAAGCUAAUUCCAGUAGUGACAUCUACAUCAAGUAUUUCCCUCAGUUAUGAAACCAAGGUUAUCAAUCCAGUAGGAGAACCAAGAAACACUAUGUAAACGGUACCUGCACACAAAGAACAAAUACUUGCAACCCAACGUGUAAGAGGGGUUGUCAAACACACAAAAGAUAGAUUAAAUUGUAUGAGAUUGGAUAAAUAGAUCUAGCAAACACACAAAAUAAAAUAAGUAAAUAAAAAGUGCACCAAGGUAUUUUAGGUUUUUUGGAAUAAUAGAUCUGAAUACAAUAUGAUACAAGAUAGACCCCGGGGCCAUAGAUUUCACUAGUGGCUUCUCUCGAGAAAAUAACAUACCGUGGGUAAAUAAAUUACUAUUCGGCAAUUGAUAGAAGAGCACAUAAUUAUGAUGGUAUCCAAGGCAAUGAUCAUGCAUAUAGGCAUCACGUCUAAGAUUAGUAGACUGACUCCUGCCUGCAUCUACUACUGUUACUCCACGCAUCGACCGCUGUCGAACAUGCAUCUAUAGUGUAUUAAGUUCAUGGAGAAACGGAGUAAUGCAAUAAGAACGAUCACAUGUGUAGACAAGAUCUAUUCAUGUAGGAAUAGACCCAAUAUUUUUAUUCUUAAUAGCAACGAUACAUGCAUGCCUCGCUAUCCCUUCUGUCACUGGGUGAGGACACCGCAUGGUCGAACCCAUCACAAACCACCUCUUCCCAUUGCAAGAAAAUCAAUCUAGUUGGCCAAACCAAGCCAAAGUUUCGGAGAAGAAAUAAGAGGCUAUAAAUAAUCAUGCAUAUAAGAGUUCAAAGAAGACUCAAAUAAUAUUCAUGGAUAUAAUUUGAUCAUAAACUCGCAAUUCAUCGGAUCCCAACAAACACACCGCAAAAAGUCAUCACAUCAAAUAGAUCUCCAACAACAACAAUGAGAACAUUGUAUUGAGAAUCAAAAAGAGAGAGGAAGCCAUCUAGCUACUGCCGACGGAUACGUAGGUCUAUGGUGAACUACUCGCGCAUCAUCGGAGGAGCACCAAUGACGAUGAUGAGCCCCUCCGUGAUCGUGUUCCCCUCCGGCAGAGUGCCGGAAUAGGGCUCUAGAUAUGAUCUCGUGGUUCUGGAAUUGGCAGCGGUUGGAAUUGUGUUUCGUCGACUCCCCAAGGGUUUCUGGAAUAUCUAAGAAUUUAUAGAGCUGAGAGGCGGUGGAGGAGACUCCCGUGGGUGAUGCGGCUUGAAACUGCGUCGAUAUUUCCCCAGAGAGGAAGGGAUGGUCUAGUACAACUACGGUAGGUAUUUCCCUUAGUUAUGAAACCAAGGCAUCAAUCCAGUAGGAGAACCAAGCAACACUAUGUAAACGGUAACUGCACACAAAGAACGAAUCCUCGCAACCCAACGCGUAAGAGGGGUUGUCAAUCCCUCCUCGGUAAAAAGAUAGAUUGGUUUGUAUGUGUUUCGAUAAAUAGAUCUGAAUAAAACGCGAGAUAAAAUAAAUGAAGAAAAAGUGCAGCAAGAUAUUUUUGCGUUUUAAGAAUAAUAGAUCUAAAAAUAAAUGCGAUGGAAAAAUAGAUCGGAAAGCAAUAUGAUAAAAGAUAGACCCGGGGGCCGUAGAUUUCACUAGUGGCUUCUCUCGAAAAAAAUAGCAUACGGUGGGUAAACAAAUUACUGUUGGGCAAUUGAUAGAAGAUCGAAUAAUUAUGAAAAUAUCCAAGGCAAUGAUCAAUAUAUCGGUAUCACGUCCAAGAUUAGAAGCCCGACUCCUGCCUGCAUCUACUACUAUUACUCCACACAUCGACCGCUUUCCAACAUGCAUCUAGUGUAUUGAGUUCAUGGAGAAACGGAGUAAUGCAAUAAGAACGAUGACAUGAUGUUGCAAGAUAUAUUCAUGUAGGAAUAGACCCCAUCUUAUUAUCCUUAAUAGAACGAUACAUGCGUGCCUCGCUGCCCCUUCUGUCACUGGGAGUGGACACUGCAAGAUCAAACCCAUCACCAAGCACCUCUUCCCAUGGCAAGAAAAAUCGAUCUAGUUGGCCUAACUAGACCAAAGAUUCGAAGGAGAAAUACAAGGCUAUAAAUAAUCAUGCGUAUGAGAUAUCAAAGAAGAAUCAAAUAAUAUUCAUGGAUAUAGAUCUGAUCAUAAACUCAAAGUUCAUCGGAUCCCAACAAACACACCACAAAAAGGUUUACAUCAAAUAGAUCACCAAGACACCAUUGUAUUAAGAAUCAAAAAGAGAGAAGAAGCCAUCUGGCUACAAUCUACGGACCCAUGACUACUUACGCAUCGUCGGAGAGGCACCAAUGAGGAUGAUGAACCCCUCCGUGAUGGUGUCUAGAUUGGAUCUCGUGGUUCUGGAACUUGCGGUGGCUGGAAUUGUGUUUCGUUUAGUCCCCUAGGGUUUCUGGAAUAUUUGGGAAUUUAUAGAGUGAAGAGGCGGUGCAGAGGACCUCCGUGGGGUCCACCACACACCAGGGCACGCCUGGGCUCUUGGGCGCGCCCUGGUGUCUGCUGGUCCCCAUGAGGAUCCCCUUUGGUGCUUCCUUGGCUCCCAAGCUAAUUUCUGGUCCAAAAAAUCUCCAAAUAUUUUCGUGGCAUCUGGACUUCAUUUGGUAGGGAUAUUCCGCAAAGUAAAAAACAAGUAACAAACAACAACUAGCACUGGGGACUAUGUCAAUAGGUUUAGUCCCAAAAAUGAUGUAAAGUUGCUAUAAAAUGAUUGUAAAACAUCCAAGAAUGAUAAUAUAACAACAUGGAACAAUAAAAAAAAUAUAGAUACAUUGGAGACGUAUCAGUUCCCAUUCAUCUUGUAAUUUCCUUCGUAUUGACACUUCCAAAUCUAACUUUUCUUCAUGAGUUUUAAUCAUUGCUUCUACAAUAUGUUUAGUAAAAGCUUUGUUUUGUUCGUAAGCGUUAGGUGAAUUAAUCAUGGAUUGCAACAAGUAAAUAUAUUCAAUGAAAGAACAACGAUCAUAAUUAAAGUCCUUGUAAUUCAAAGUAGUGGGGGCAUCACUAUCUAAAGUUUUGCCCUCUUCGAACCCACUUUUGUUGUUUUUAUCAUGAAGAUCAUAACCCUCCGAACAAUUGGGACACCUUCUAAUUAAAGCUGACUCAUCCCUAGUCCCUUUGUCAUCAAGUUUUAUAUUACUAAACAAAGAUUCAAUAGGUGCCACACCAAUCAUUUUAGUGUCUUAAUCAUUAAUGUUGUAAAAACCAGGUGCUGGCGCUUUUUUUAGAAAUUCGCAUCUAGCCUCCUCAUCCUUUCAAUUCUUUUUCUACUCUCAUCUAUAGUGACUUGGAUAGACCUUAAAAAUUAAUAUAUUUCAUCGUUUUAUGUGGAUUUUUUUAAUUUUGAGACUAUACACAGCAUGAGCAAUUCCAUCCAUGUUUCUAUACAUAUGAUCAACCUUGUUUAGUUUGUAUUCUACCAUAGCAUUGAAAAUAUUUUGAGAACUAAUAACUUAUUUAAUGUUGUUUUCAUGUUCAGUAGGUAUACUAUAAUUAUUUGAUGAGUUACCAUAGGAAUUACCAUAAGGUUUAGAGGGAUUACCGAGAUACGGUCUAGGGUUGAAAUUCCCUCUAUAAGCAUUGUUGUUGAAAUUAUUUUUAGCGACAAAAUUCACAUCAAUAGCAUGAUUAUUUUUCUCAAUCCAACUAGAUAAUGGGAUAUCAUUAGGAUCAACAUGAGCAUUCUUACUAUUAAGCAUAUUCAUAACAGCAUCCAAUCUAUCACUCAGAGUCAAAACUUCUUCGACACAGUUAACCUUCUUACCAGUUGGAGCUUGUUCAGUGUGCCAUUGGGAAUAAUUUGCUCUCAUAUAAUCAAGAAGCUUCGUGGCUUCUCCUAAUGUAAUCCCCAUAAGUGUACCACCUGCACCAGAGUAUAGAAGAUUUCUCGAGACAAAGUUUACUCCCGCAUAAUUUUUUUUUACUAUCAUUCAUAAGUUUAAUCCAUGAGUGGGACAAUUUUUAAUCAUUAAUUUCAUUUUCCCAAAAGUUUUGCAACAUGUUCUUGCUCAUGUUGUUUAAUUUCAUGAUUUUAUUUCUAACAAACAUUAUCAUAGCGGGAGGGAAAUACUUAGCAAUAAAAGCAUCCUUGAAUCAAUACUAUUGCGAGGUAAGGAUGAAAAGCAAGUUUUAGCUUUGUCCCUUAAUGAGAAGGGAAAUAAUUUCAACUUAACAGUAUGAUUAUCCACAUAUUUUUUCUUUUGCAUAUCACAUAAUUCAACGAAUGUACUAAGAUGGUAUGCAACAUCUUCAUUAUGAUUUCUAGCAAAUUGUUCUUUCAUAAUAAGAUUUAGCAAUGCAACAUUAAUAUCAUAUGACUCCGCACUAGUGGAGGGAGGAGCAGUUGGAGUACUAAUAAAAUCAUUGUUAUUAGUAUUUGAGAAGUCACAUAACUUAGUAUUUUCUUGAGACAUAAUGGAAACUCAAGCAAGCAAGCAAAAUAAACUAUUUUUAUGUAUUUGAUUUUUUUGACGAGUCUAAUAAAGGAAAAUAAAAAGUAGAACAUUUAAAUGAUAAUGUGUAUAUAAAGGGACCUUGAUUGUUUGAUGGAGUCUACGUGGUAAUGGCACCAGAAAUUCUUUCUGCUACUUGUGAGCUGCGUUGGGAUUUUCCCUGGAGAGGAAGGGUGAAGCAAUAUAGUAGUGGAUAGUAUUUUCCUCAGUAGAAAAUGAAGGUUGUCAAACCAAGAUGAGAUUCACACAAAUGACCUUUAGCAAUACCUACACACACAAGAGCAAAUACUUGCACCCAACGCGGGCAAGUGGGUCGUCAAUCCCCUUGUACUCGUUACUUGCAAGGAUCAAAUCUUGUAUUUCUAGAUAAAUUGCAAAGUGAAAUAAAAGUAAAUAAAUUGAAGCAAGGUAUUUAGGGUUUCAGUACUAUGAUUAAAAUAGACCUAGGGUCCAUAGUUUUCACUAGAGGCAUGCAUCUCUCAUAAAGAAAUAGCAUAUGGUGGGUAGACAAAUUACUGUUGGGCACUUGAUAGAAAAGCGCAUAGUUAUGACAUUAUUCAUGGCAUGGUCAUACAUAGGAAUUACGUCCAUGACAAGUAGAAUGACUCCUGCCUACAUCUACUACUAUUACUCCACUUUGAGAGCACAUCUAUGAUUGGCUCUCUAUGUAUUAAUUUCAUGAUGAACAAAGUAAUGCAUGAAAUAUGAUGGCAUAAUGUAGACGGAAUAAAGCCAAGCAAUAUGAAUAAACCCCAUCAUUUUUCCCUUAGUAUAAACAAUACAAAUACGUGCCUCGAUACCCCUCUUGUCACAGAGUGAGGACAUCUCAAUAUUGAACCUACUACAAAGGACCCCUCCUGCUGAAGAUAAAUCAAUGUAGUUGGCCAAACCAAAUGGAUAGAUCGGAGAGAAAUACAAAGCUAUGACAAUCACACAUAAUAAAGUUCAGAAACGACUCAAUUACUUUCAAUGAAUAAUAUAAUCAUAAACCCACAAUACAUCAGAUACCAACAAACGCACCACAAAAUAAGAUUAUAUCGAAUAGAACUCGAAGGAGAACAAUGUAUUGAAGAUCAAAGAGAAAGAGAGAGAGAGAGAGAGAGAGAGAGAGAGAGAGAGAGAGAGAGAGAGAGAGAGAUCUUAUAUGUUAUAUUUACUAAUUGGAGGCACCAAUCGAGGCUCAACGUUAAUCGUCAAAAAGUAAAGAAAUUAGCCAUACGAUUUCCUUAUCAAGUAUCUAGAACCGUUGGAUGAAGUUCCUCAGAAGUCCAUGCCAUGUGUCCCACGUGCACUACUCAUUAGCAAACUCUUCACGGGCUAUGACUAAAAGAGCUCCUCCCUGGGCAGCCAAAAUAGGUGUCUCCCUCGCAGCCCAUGAUGCAUCGGCGAGAGGUGAGACUCCCCGCCGUCCUCAUGACAUAUCCUUUCUGCAGUUUCCAUGUUGUCUCAACUUCCACGCUGCAAUCCAUCUACCAAAUCCAACCAACCCCUCCCUUAUUCCCUUUUCGUUGCUAGCCAUUGAAUCUCCUCUGCCCGAAGCCCCCAAGUUUGCUGCAAUCCAUGUUGGCUGAUGUAGCUAAGGAGGAGGUCCUUUCAAUCUCAGUUUCUAUAUCCUAGUCACAUUGUAAUCCAUGAUGUACGAUGGUUUGGAGAAGGAUGUGCACUCACCAAGUUUUAAAAUCAGAUCGGGCAGCGGCCAUUGUUAGUGUCAUUGUAGAUAAGAGAAAAUAUAUGGUCUAUGGCAGACUUGCGGUCUAUAUUGGUGGAGUAUGUCACCAGCAGUCUUAUCCCCAUGAUGAAGGCAAGUAACCAAUUAUCCUUGAAUGCCGAUCAAUCAGAUUAGUCCCAAAAAUCUGAUCAACAAAAUUUGGUGUUGUUGGUGUCCAUCUAUCGGCACUACUCCCGACCAAUUUCUAAAACAGGGAAUAACAACAUAAAAGUGUGUGAUUCAGAUCUUGAAGUAUAUCAAGCAAAGUAGGCUUCUGUACCAUGUCCCAGAUUCAACAGAACUGGAGUAUUUCAUUCGUUUCCAUGGAUCUAUCAAGGUUAAUGCAAACUUGAAGAUGGUAGAACUGCUUGAAGGUUAGCACACAAUGAAUACAAUGGAUUUGCUCUGAGAAAGGUGAUUUUUGUUCAUGUUCCUGAUGAAUAAAGACCACAAUUAUUGUAGUUUUGUCCCCUAUUGUUCAGUUAACGGAUGAUAGUGGCAUGGUGAUGCUCUGUUUCUGCUUCACAUGGCUCUAUGCUGGCAAAACAUACAGGUUUAUGUGUUCUGUAGGGAUGGACUACCUAUCCUCCAGCGGCAGUUUGUAUUCCCUACAGCAGGGUUGGGCGUUAACUACAGGCUGGAACUAAUAAAACACCAGCAAGCAGAGGUUCACUUUGAGAUUUAUAGGAGGCUUUACAGAUUUUUCCCCAAGUCACUCUCUCUGUUAGUCAAAAAAAUUACUCUAUAGAUAGCACUCUUCUAUAUUAAUCCUUUGAAUUACAGGUUAAAUAUAUGAGUAUCUACGGUUCAGCGUGAUAUAUCUAAUUAUUAUGCUUUCCAAUGCUAAAUAAAGGUACGUGUCCUAGACUUUAAAUAGUUUCCUAUAUGUUUUACACUAGAGUUAUAUACCAACUUCUCAGAUUUCUCAAUGUCAUGCCUAAUAGAGGUUAUAAUCAAUGGUCUGUAGUUAGUUCUUGCUGGCUUCUCCCACAUUCCCUUGAACUCAAUAUUAUUACAGUCGUUGGUGAGGAGAGGAACCCAACCUUUGUCGUAUGGUUCCGUUAGAUUAGGAAAUUUCUUGACUCAUCAGUCAUAUGUGCUUGAAAAUUACGUUAGACUGACAAGGCCAGAUUUUAACUAUAUUAUUAUACUAUCCUUUGUGGAUUCAAGAUCAGAGGAGAUAAAAUAUAUAAUUAUGGAUCUAAAGAUAUGAUCUUCCACCGAAUAAACCAACUAGCAUCAACUACUAGAUAUAAUCAACACUACUAGCAACCCACAUGUCGUAAUCUGACAUUUUAGGAAAAAGAUUGAAUACAAGAGCUGAAUUAGGGUUUGAGAUGAGAUGAUGCUGGUGAAUAUGUUAAUGUUGAUGAGUCCUCCUACGAUGAAAGUAAUGCUAGUGAUGUCGAUGGCUUCGAUUACCCCCUCCCGGAGGGAAGUGUCCUCGGCGGAAUUGCUUUGACGGAGUGAAAAAGAGCUCCUGCACAGGUUCCGCCUUGAGAUGGCGGCGCUUCAUCCCAAAAGUCUUCUUCUAUUUUUUCUAGGACAAAUGGACUCAUAUAGCAGAAGGAGGACACCAGAGGGCUUCUGUGGGCCCCACGAGGCAUCAGGGCGCGCCUAGGGGGUAGGGUGCGCCCCUUGCCUUGUGGGCCCAUGGUUGCUCCUUUCCAAUACUUAUUUCUUCCGGUAUCUUUUAUAUAUUCCAAAAUAAUUCUUCAUAAAAAUUUAGGUCAUUUGGAGCUUCGGAGAAUAGCUAUCUCUGUUGUAGUUCUUUCAGGUUCGUAAUUCCAACUGCUGGUAAUCUCCCUCUUCAUGAAAAUAUUGGUAUUAGGGAGAAAAGGCUUUAGUAUUGCAUCAACUCCCCAAGCUUAGACCUCGCUUGUCCUCAAGCGAAAGCCGAAAUCGAUAAUCAUGACCACAUGUUUAAAGAAAGAGGCGUGGAUAAAAAAUGCAGACAUAGAAGCAUCAUGAUCAUUAUUACAAUAGUAACUAUUCAUGAUAAAACUUCUCAUGAUCAAGUAACUAUUCAUCCACAAUCUAGAGUAUAAACCAUAAACUUUUUUGAAAACUAACGAACAAUGUUCUCAGUCAUUGAUGGAAUUACAAUUCACCGCAUUUGGGUUUAGCAAGUUUACAUACUCAACUAUCAUUUAGUCUUCCAUGAUUACUGACACUCAAAGCAUAUUUUUGGAGCAAACGUUUCUGUCAGACACAUAGGAAGAUGGGGGUUUAUUGCUUCACAUCCCAACUUGUUUACCUCAAGGAUAAUGUCAACAUAAUAACCCAUUAGUACCCACAUUAGACUGUAUAUAUGUGCUUGGAUCUUUUCCCUACCACAUAAUGCUUGCCAAGUGUAGAAUAAAUAAGGGUGGAAUAAGGAUGAAUAUUGUUGACUCUAUGGUAAAAUCUGAAUAGUAAAAGAUAGUCCCUUCGUAGAGGGGAGCAGAGUUUAUCAUGCUUUUUCAUUUGGAUGUGCACACUCUUAAUGCAAAGGAAGGUCACUUUAUAUUACCCCUUGUGAUAGCAACCUUCGUUAUGAAAUAUGUCGCUUUUAUUUCUUUACCAUCAAAAGUUUGUACAAAUAUUAUUUUCCUUUACAAUAAAAGAUCAUAUAUAUUUAGGAGAACUUUUUAUUGCUUUGGACCGAUAACAACUUACUUGAAGGAUCUUAUUACUUAGAUUGAAACAAGAAAGUAAAGCAAUGAAACUCAAACUACUCUUUAUUAUAUAACUCUCACACACAAUUACAUCGAUAGAUAGAUCACGAAACAAGCACUUGGAAACUACUUCAUACUAAUAUUUAUUCUUCUAUGACAUGAAAUAACUAAGGAUCGAAAUAAGAUACAUAAUGAUGAUAAAAGUGAUGGUGAUACGAUGUCGGGGCCCCUCCCUCAAGCUUGGAACAAGCAAAGGGUAAUGCCCAUACCGGUGUACUCAAGUUUCCUUCCUUAGUCAUGAUGGUGAUGAAGUGGUAGGCUUGUUAUCCGCCUUCCAAGCUUAUAACGAAUUCAUCUUCUUGACGAUCUCAAAGAGCACGAGAUUUUGUUCUUCUAGGGCAAUAAUUUCUACAAAGCAAAGAUCACUCUUUAAUUCCAAUUCUCUACAAUCAAAGAUCAUGAAAAUUGCCUACGAAAAAACUAUUCUAUCCACUUAACACAUUGCUUUGGAUACUACUAACAACAGAACGUCUGAGCCAAAGAACAAAGGAUGACAAAACCAAUAUAAAACAGGAAUAUAACCUGCGAAGGAACACGUCGACGAUUUUCACUCCAGGUGGAUAACUAGGCAUCAUCCAGCAGUCCGAAAUGCAUGCCAAAUGAACUAGUUCUGCACAUCAUCUCAUUGUCCACAAAAUGCAUGGAUUACCAUUUAUUUUGUUAACUUGUUAAUAGAUUGCUAUGUGAACGAAAGAGACCAUCCCCGAUCGAUAGCAUAGGCCAUUACCAAAUGCGUGCAAUUGUGCUGACUGGAACACCAAAACAGCAGAUCCAAACACUUAUCAUCAGCUCGAUGGCCGGAACCACAAUCAAGAACGACUCGACUACCGGACCAUCUCGGAGAGAGAGAGAGGCUUCUGACCCUACAAGAAAUAGUUUCAGCUUCACCUGGUGUUCACAAUGAAAAACAGAUUUUGAAUAUGUGAACCGCGACACUGCAAUUGGAAUAGCCCUUCAAGUAUAAACAAUACUGACAGCAGAAAUGAAAAUCUUUGCUAAAAUGCAACUUGAUGUUUCCUGAAAUUCAUAAUCAUAAGAUGUUGUCUCAUAAACUUCUGCGAUUAGUGAACUUUUACAUAUUUACUAGUCAAGAGUUUUACUGUGUAAGCAUCGCAUGUUUAGGAGAUAACAAUUCAUCUAAGCAUUAUACUACCACCGUUCCAAAAUAAAAGUUGCGACUUAGUAUAAUUUUAGUACUAAGUUGUAUUAAGUUAGCAACACUUAUUUCGGGAUGGAGGGGGUACAAGUUAAGAGCAUACUACGAGGUUCAGGUACUAAGUAGAGCUCAUAUAAAAGAGUACCUCUAUCUAAACAUUUAAGCCAUGAAGUACAACCCUGACCACAAAGAUGUAUAUUACAAGAAGAAUAUAACCUACAGCAGCUCUACACACACCACCCUAAAGCAGCAAAUUAAAAUACACACAGGUACAAACCAAACAGUUUUGUCCUAACAAUUAGUACUUCUAUGUCUUGACAGAAAAAUAGUCCCACCAUCUCUAGACACAUGGAUGUACAAAUGGAAUGUUGGAACCAUGCAAGGCAUCAUAAAACAUGAUCAACAUCAUAAACACAAGGCAUCAUCAUACAAUCAGAAUAGUCCCAUAUCCAUUCGGAAGGAAAAUUUAAUAUGUUAAAUGCCUAGCACAUUCGUGUUCUUGAUUAGCUAUGAACCAUUCGGUGAGCAUUGUUUUAUGUACAUUGGAAUUUUGAAUCACCCUGUCUAAUCAGAAUUCCUCAUGCAAGAUCACUUUGUUGAUGCCAGGAAGAUGGACCACCAACCUUUCAACAGAGAUUUAUUGGCCAUGUAUAUCAAACGCAAACAAAAAUAAGAAAGGAAUGGAAACAACGCCGACUAUCCUAUCAUUGGGAGUUGACUUAAAAUAUAAAUUUACACUGGUAAACAAUUAAACAUUGCAGCGUGGGACAUUCAUUCAAAAUUUGAAUUGAAGGAACAAUAUAUUAUUAGCAAUCAAUUGUCCCCAUGAAUACAACGAAUACAACGACACAGUAAAAAUAUAUCCGGUGGUAAAGUUGGAAGCAGACCUAUACAAUGCGCAUAUUGUAUUUCCUUGUAACAAUAAAUAAACUAUAUCAUCACGGUGUGUAAACUAGAACCUAGCAUUAGGACGUAAAAAAUUUCUGCACGUACAAUAGGGAAUUACAAACAAAAUUAAUAACUGAAAAAUACUAAUUACCAACCAGCAUACUGCCCAUCAUAAUUAAUAUUUAAGAAAAAUAUAUACACUACUUCUCUUCUCCCCUCUAAUGCCAAUGAUGUUACAACAGCUCGAUACAUUUGCAGAUCGGCUGACAUUCGGUGAUCACUUCUUUCUCACCUCUUGUUCUUCAAACCAAUUCCAAAAAUAUAUCAAACCUUGCACUACUUUAGGUUUCAGCUUCUGCUGAAAAAUCUUUUCUUAAAAUGAUAUUGACAUGCCUUUGCGCAAAAAAAAAUGAUAUUGUCAUGCCAAAUAGAAAGCCCAAAAAGGUUGGGUUGAAGUUGCUAAUUAGCAGCAAUUUGAUUUAUCAACAGAAUCAAGUACGGCCGUUUCUAAGUGGUUCCACGUGGGUUUUCAAACUAAAUAAUAAAGACCCUGAACCUGAUUUCCUUCAGCUCCUCAUCAAGCUACUGCUCUGAUUCUUUUAUCGCCAUUUAAUCUGCGGAUGCACAGGGAACAGGGAAUAUGAAACUCAUGUGAGAGAGUGGCAUAGGUGUAAAUAUAAUGUCCUGUACUUUUUGCUAGCAUAUCUAUAAUACCUGGAUGUAUAAUGUGUAUUUGAAACACGUCAGUUAGCUAUUACAUUGAUUUGUGAUGCAACCAACAGAUAAAGUUUCUGAACAUAUGAGUUUCCCCCGUCCUCACCAGGUCCAUCAUGCCGUUGCCGUCCUCCACCAGGAACAGCUGCUAUAGCGGAGCGUGCAACAACACCACCCAGCGCUCCGCUGCCCCGACAUAGACCUAGGCCGACGGCAAUGGGCCUAAGCCGACGGCCGUCGGCCGUCGGCAUAGGGUGUUAGUCCGGUAGUGCCACCCAGCGCUCCGCUGCCCCGAGUAGGGGCGCCUAGGUCAAUGGUCGUCGUCAGUAAUGCCGCGUUUGCCUCCUGCUUCAGCCGCGCCACCAGCAUCCCGUGCCGCCUCCUGCGUACAGCGCAGAGCUCCGGCGGUGCUGAAGUGGAGCUCAUGCGCGAGCUCAGGCGUAUGGGUAAAGGGGGAGGAGGGAAGUGAGGAAAAAGAUGGAGAGGCUGCCGGUGCGGUGUGGCUGGUCCUGUGCGGAUCCAUGGUGCGUGCGGAAGGUAGAUGAGGCGUGCUCGGGCCUCUCCUGAUGGCGGCGACGCGUGAGGGCUGGGGGAGCCUGCUCGUGGGAAGUGGAAUAGGAAGAUGGGAGGUUGUGUUGGUGGAGGAGGAGGAGGAGAGGAAUAACGACUAAUCGCCGGGAAGCCGCGCAUGAUCUUCCGCCGUGCAAGUGUAGCGGAGUGGCUCAUUUUCCCUAUCUGCAACGAAGGGUGGAAAUUUGGGAGGAAAGUGGAGGACGUGUGAAGGUGGGAGGAGGAAGGGAGAGGAUGUGGGCGACCGACAAUUGGGAGUUUUCUAGAGAAUGCGGGAUAGGCCGGGAGCGGAAGAAAAUAUCUACCGACCAGAUCGGUCCAGAGAAAGAACCGCUACAAAAUCAGGAGAAAACUAUGGUGAAACCCAGGGACACAUGUCGCUUGAAGGGAGCAACGGCGCCUGGGAACGCACGGGAGCAGCCCCUGUUUAUAGCCAAUCUAAUUCUUGUAUGUAUGUAUCUAUGUUCACCUAUAUUAUUAUAUCUCAUAUUCUGCCAUCCAAAUUAACCAAGCCCUAUGCUGUUGGAGUCUUCAAGGUUGAUAUAUCUCGACUCUAUAUUUACAGAUCACAGCCCUCGUCGUUUUCUAUCAAUUCGAGAGUGUAAUUGAUGGAUUGCAAUUUGAAUUAAAUAAACUUGAACUUCAGAGCUGGAGUAAGUAUUCUCCCGCCCAUAUGAUUGAUCAUUCCUCAGAUCUAGCUGACUCACUACCAUUGAAGUAUAAGUAAUCAUGGUCUACGGUAAAGGCACAUGAUCUCUACGUAAAGUGGACUAUACUAACUACUCCCUCCGUUCCUAAAUAUAAGUAUUCCUAGAGAUUCUAUCAAAUGACUAGAUACGGAGCAAAAUGAGUGAAUCUACACUCUAAAAUAUGUCUACAUACAUCUGUAUGUUGUUGCCAUUUGAAAUGUCUAAAAAGACAUACAUUUAGGAACGGAGGGAGUAUAUGACUCGCCGGUGGAACUGGUAGCAAUAGCCUCUGAAUAGUCAUGCGUCCACUUUUCACUUUUGCACGAACCAGUGAAUAUGUUUUAUGUAGAUGAAAAUGAAAUAACAAAAAACAACCCAAUAAUGUAUGAGAAAAACAAACAAGGCGAUUACAAAGUUCUAGAACUCCUCACAAAGCUAGAGAAACUAAUUCCACGGAUAGGCCAGAACAUAACUUAGCAACACCAUCGAACAUAAACGGUAGAUGCAUGCAGUUCUGAGUAUAAAAAACAGCAAGGUGGUGCAUUAGAUCCUCUGUUCUCACUUGUAUGAUACCCGCAGAUCCCUCGGUGGAUUAGUCUGAUGGGUCGCCAUACUCAUAGUAAGUGUAGCCCUCCUCACCGUAAGGCGGCAGCAUCUGCAGUUCCGAGUACUCGAUAGUAGUGCAGUAAUUCACCAACAGCUCAGCCAUUUUAGAGAAAGGAUUUGUUGGAGCUUCAAAUACAUACUUGGGCUCCUCUUCCCAUCCACUGCCAGCGAGACUCCCUUGAUCAUAAGCUCGAACCACGGAGCGAUCCGCGUAGUAGAUUGUGCCAGAUUCGAUGGAGUGGAACUUGUUGGACUUCGUGGUGUCGAUGGAGAGGCACCUGCGCGAGCUGACAAACAGCGCGCGGCUACCGAUGCUUCUGACAGGCACAAGCACCUUGUUCACGGUGUCCACCUUGUAGACCACCGGCAUGCCAUUACAAACGCGCCCAUCCAUCACCAGAAGAAGCUCCCCCUCUGAUUCCACGAGAUAGAAGUUAUUGCUCCCAUGGGCUUGCUCAAAAUUUGGGCCGACAAUGGUGGUGAACAUGGAGAUUGUCCCCGCGGAGCGUUUCCAUUGGUUACCUUCCUUGUACAUGUCAGUGAUUGUUGAUAUGAUGGAUCCAUACUUAUUUGUGAUGUACAUGCCGCCUGCAAAGGAUGUCAAGUUCUUGUGACGAUUGCCAAAGCCCCAAUCCCCGGUCCUGAACUCCCCUUCUCUACAAAAGCGGGGUGCCAUUCCUCGCUUGUCUGAUCAGCCCAGCUCACACAAUUGUUUAGCAGGUCUGAGAUGAACACCAUCAUUGGAGACGUUGUCACGACGACAGAGCUCACCUGUUCCAUGGGUAUAGGCACCUUGAAGCGUGCCAUGGUGCCCGUGAAAGGGUUGAGCACCCGAGUUUGGUAUGGCUGUGCUCUCUGCCCUAGCACGAAGAGUCCGCCUUUCGUGACGCCGACGAAAAAGUACCUCCGGCUGCGGACCUCUGUGGGGAUUUUCUUGCGGAGGAGGCGGCCUGUGGUAAGGUUGAAGAAGGCCACCCGGUCAUUGCGGAGAAGGCGGCCUGUGGAUGAUCCACUUGCUGGGCAUGAAUUUGGGAUCUGUGGCAUCUGCGGUGGAGUCUGUGGCUCGGCGCCAGUUGGCGCAGACCGCCCGGAAGGCGACAUAGUGGUCGAUAUCGUCCGUUGCGAGGAAGGAUUCACUGAUCUUCCUCGUGAUAUCAUAUGGGAGGUUUUUCCAGAACACCAGGUCCGCCAUGACUAGUUUCAGGUGGGUGGUGGAUGGACGAGGUAUUUCCUUUUGUGGGACACGGAGGCAGAGCUGCGGGCUAUAAUCCUAUGCUUUUUGUGUGCUUGCGUCUGGAUGGAUUGGAUGGUGGCUAUAUAUAUACAUAUUCUUGGCGCGUCUUGCAGAAGUUUCAAACGUCGUGUGAAUACAUACAAGGUUUGAUGCGUUCGCUGGGUGACAUUUUUGGAAGAACUUGAAACCAAACGAACGUUGAGAACAGCUAGCUGUUAGCACCCAUCGUCAAGGUAUGCCCGGCGCUAUUACUUUCCAAAAAUAAAAAGACUAGUGUUCGCUUCCAUACUGCAUACACAUACUGCACUAUUACUUUCCAGAACUGAAAUCGCCUAGUGUUCACAUGCAUACUGCGUACGUAUAUCAUUCCAUAUAUACUAUACAGCAAAUCAGACUGCAUUCCUAUUCCAUUGUAUUUGACUAAACUUCAGAAAAAAUAAUUCAAGUUUGUAAAGUUGUCUAAACCAUGUGCGCACGAGACAAAAGAAAGUGGCUGUCAAGUUUGGUUUUGAACACUGUACAGACGAAAGCACUCAUACAUACGCGCAUACGCUCAUCCUUAUGAACGCACACACGGACAACCUACCCCUAUGAGCACUAUCGAGAGACUGAGCCGGCAUAUCAUCUUUACAUUUACGAAGUCACCGUAGGCGCACCUCGUCGUCGACGGGAACAUCUGCUCCCAUUGAAAGCGCAUCGUUGGAAAUUCUUAAAUAAAUCUAGAAAUAAUGCGAGCACCAUGAUAUGAACCCUGGUGGGCUGGGGAUACCACUGUCCUCUAUCAAUCCAACCACGGGUUUGUUCGCAAAGUGGAUGUCAAGUUAAUGGUACCAAAACACGUUCUCUGUGAUCAGACUUGGCUCACGGCAUGGCUGUUUCAUCCGCUGAUGUGACAGCGGAGUAUCUCCAGAGCUAUAUGUCUUCUUUGCAGCUGUCUAGGAAGUUUACCACUGAAGAAAUUAUGAAAGGAAAGAUGCAGUUGAGGGAGGAGGCCCCGAUGAUACAGCAUCCUGCAAUUGUACCUCAACCUUGGCCGAGACCACCAGUGGGUUGGGUCGCCUUAUCAGUGGAUGGAGCUUAUUCUAACUCAGACGAGUCGGCUGCUGCGGGUAUGAUCCUACGGCGAACUGAUGGUAGCGUUAUUUUUGCAGCCUACAGUUGCAUCUUCAAUUGCAAUGACGCUCUGGCGGCUGAGAUACAUGCCUUAAUGCAAGGUAUGGCCUUGGCUCUUCAACACUCUGAGUUGCAGGUCAUUGUUUAGUCAGACUCCUCAGAAGCACUCCUGGCGUUGAAAGGAGACAAUCUUUCCCGCUCUGCUUAUGGACAUCUAGUUGCUGAGAUCCAAUUUCUCAUGGGUGAAAGGGAGUUUAUUCCUUCAAAAAUUAAACGUGGAUAGAGGCACCACGUGAGUUUAUUCCUUCUUCAAAAAUUUCUCAUGGGUUUUCCAGCCGCCUUCUACCGAUGCCAAUGGAUCAGCCUUGCCUCCCAUGGCCUUAGGGAAAUACUCUGCUUAUGGUUUUCUCAGAUUAUUUUUCCUGAUAGGUGAAAUCGAGUCCGUAAUGAGGGUUUUAGGGGAGCGCCCAGGGGGAGGGGGGAAUACUAUUACUUGUGUAAUGCGUGUUGUAACUCGAGCAUGCCAACAGUGCUGUAGUAAAUGGGCCGGCCCAUGAAACGUAGAUGCGUUUGAUGUUUCUUUGUUCGCUUCAUUUUGAUUGUUGGUUGUUUCAAUUUUUCCCUUUUCUACUCUCAUUUAUAUUAUGAAUAUAAAUUUUUAUAUUUAAAAUGUUUAUGCACUGUCAAAAAAGCGUUAGUGCAAUGUUUCAAUAUAUUUGACUGCAUAAAAAAUUGUGCAUGCAUUUUAAAUAAAAUAUUUGUGAAAUUUUUAUAAAUGUUUGAAAAUUUUCAAACACUUGUCGCGUGAUUAAGAAAAAUUGUAUAAUUAAAAUGAUGAUCGUGAGACUUUAAAUAUAAAUAAUUUUAAAAGGUUUAUACAAUGUAAAAUAAUAUUCGCCGAAUUCAAAUAAAUGUUGUGACACUAAAUAUAUGCUCAACCUGUAAUUUAAUUUUCUAACACUUAUUCAAAAAAUCCGUUCGAAAACAUGUAUUUGAAAAAAAUGUUCAUCUAGUUUUUGUUUAGCGCUUACCGUUUAUAUAUAAAAAUUACAUCCUGUAUUGAAAAAGGUAGAAACAUUUUAAAAGAAAAAAACAAAAUAAGUAAAAUCGAUAAAAACCGGUGAAAGAAACAUAAAAAUGAGGGAAAUCGGUGAAAGAAAUGCAAAAACCGGCAUAGAAAAAAGGAUACCGUAGAAAAACAAAACAUGAAAAAGAAAAAGAAAGAGAAAAACAAAAGAGGAAAACCCGAAAAAUCAUGGAAACAAACACUGAUACUGAAAAACCACAACAAAUACUGAUGAAAACCACUACAGAAACAAACAAAAAAAUACCGAAUGAUUUUUUUACGAAAGCAAACAAAAUGGUUACAAAGGUGCAGAAAGUACUACUAGGAAAAUUCUUAUGGAUAGAAUUUUACCAGUAGCGUUUGUUUAUGACCCCACGCUACUAGUAGUUAGUAGUAGCGCAGGGUAGAAAGGGAUCAGUGCCUUAGAUAUCUUCAUAACUAUGCGAUUUUCUAUCAAUUGCCCGGCAGUAAUUUGUUCACCCACCGUAAUACUUGCUAUCUUGAGAGAAGCCACUAGUGAAACCUAUGGCCUCCGGGUCUCUUUCCUAUUAUAUUGCAUCUCUUUUAUUUACAUCGCAUCUCGUUUACUAUUUUGCAAUCUUUUACUUUCCAAUCUAUACAACAAAAAUACCAAAAAAAAUUACUUUACUAUCUCUAUUAUAUCUCACUUUUGCGAGUGACCGUGAAGGGAUUGACAACCCCUUUAUCGCGUUGGUUGCAAGGUUCUUGAUUGUUUGUGCAGGUACUAGAUGACUUGUGCAUUGUCUCCUACUGGAUUGAUACCUUGGUUCUCAAAACUGAGGGAAAUACUUACGCUACUUUGCUGCAUCAUCCUUUCCUCUUCAAGGGAAAACCAACGCAUGCUCAAGAGAUAGCAAGAAGGAUUUCUGGCGCCGUUGCCGGGGAGAUCUACGCCAAGUCAAGACAUACCAAGUACCCAUCAUAAACUCUUCUCCCUCACAUUACAUUAUUUGCCAUUCGUCUCUCGUUUUCCUCUCCCCCACUUCUAAAACGAUUUUCGAAAACCUUUGCCUUUUCGUCGCCCCUCUUCCAUUCGCCUCUUUUCGCUUGCUUCUUGUGCAUCCGUGUGUUAGAUCGUGUGUUUCACCUUCAUGGCUAGUCCUCCUAUCAUUGUUAAUACUCCCGAUAAUGAAGUUCUCAAUUUUAAACAAAGGGAGGGAGAAAAUCUAAAAGAUGCUUGGUAUAGAAUUUGCAAUGCUCAAAAUAGAUCUACUAGAAAGCAAUCCACUUCCGUUCUUCUUCGCAAUUUCUACGUAGGCGUCACUCCUUGGAAUAGAUAUGUUCUUGACACCAUUACCGGAGGGGAUUUCUUGGGAAGCCAUACUUUUGAUUCUCAUAAUGCUAUGAUAGAUUUGUUAGUCCCACCACCUCUUUUGGUCAAUGGAACUAUUUUAACUUUGGAACAUGUGAUGCAAAGGCUUGAUAUUAUUGAAAAUAAAAUUCCCAUAGUUAAUGAGAAGAUAGAUCAAGAUUCCGCUAGAGUUGAUAAACUCGAAGAUAUUAUUACCGACUUGGGGUCCGCUUUUUCUGCCGUUAAAAAUACCUCAAAUCCUCCUCCUACCAAAGUUUCCAAGUUUAUCUAUGUUCCUAAAAAUAUGGGUGAAUCUUCUAGUAAUGAAAAUGAAGACCACAAAUCAAUAAGUGUUUACCCUAACUUUUUCGAUAUCAUUAAGGAACCUUUUGCUACAAAUGAAUUUCUUGAUUUCUUGCCUAGGAGUUUCAUCAUUAACAAAACCAAAGAACCUCCUAAGGGUUAUGUGUGUUCAAUUGAAGAAUUGCAUAACAAAGAUGGCAAUACCUAGAUCUAUUCUUGUUUUUAUGCCUAGCUAGGGGCGUUAAACGAUAGCGCUUGUUGGGAGGCAACCCAAUUUUAUUUUUGUUCUUUUAUUUUUGCUCCUGUUUAGUAAUAAAUAAUUCAUCUAGCUUCUGUUUAUAUGUGGUUUUAUGUUUUAAUUAGUGUUUGUGCCAAGUAGAACCGUUGGGAGGACUUGGGUGAAGUCUUUGCGAUCUUGCUGGAAAAAACAGAAACUUUUGCGCUCACGAGAUUAGCUAUCAUUGUUUACUGGAGUGUGAUUUUAGGUUGAUUCUUUUUGAAGAUGAUUAAUAGACAAAUUCCUCACGUCCACAAAUUUAUUUCAGAAUUUUAUGAGUUACAGAAGUAUUCGAAAGUUACAGACUGCUACAGACUGUUCUUUUUUCGUGUGUUGUUUUCUUAUUUUGAUGAAUCUAUGAGUAGUAUCGGGGGGUAUGAACCAUAGAGAAGUUGGAAUACAUUAGGUUUAACACCAAUAUAAAUAAAGAAUGAGUUCAUUACAGUACCUUAAAGUGGUGGUUUAUUUUCUUAUACUAACGGAGCUCAUGAGAUUUUCUGUUGAAGUUUUGUGUUGUGAAGUUUUCAAGUUUUUGGGUAAAGAUUUGAUGGAUUUUGGAAUAAGGAGUGGGAAGAGCCAAAGCUUGGGGAUGCCCAAGGCACCCCAAUGUAAAAUUCAAGGACAACCAAAAGCCUAAGCUUGGGGAUGCCCUAGAAGGCAUCCCCUCUUUCGUCUUCGUCUAUCGGUAACUUUACUUGAGGCUAUAUUUUUAUUCACCACAUGAUAUGUGUUUUGUUUGGAGCGUCUUGUAUGAUUUGAGUCUUUGCUUUUUAGUUUAACACAAUCAUCCUUGCUGUACACACCUUUUGGGAGAGACACGCAUGAAUCGGAAUUUAUUAGAAUACUCUAUGUGCUUCACUUAUAUCUUUUGAGCUAGAUAAUUUUGCUCUAGUGCUUCACUUAUAUCCUUUUAGAGCACGGUGGUGGUUUUAUUUUAUAGAAAUUAUUGAUCUCUCAUGCUUCACUUAUAUUAUUUUGAGAUUCUUUUAGAACAGCAUGGUAAUUUGCUUUGGCUAUAAAACUAGUCCUAAUAUGAUGGGUAUCCAAGAGGGAUAUAAUAAAAACUUUCAUAUAAAGUGCAUUGAAUACUAUGAGAAGUUUGAUUCCUUAUGAUUGUUUUGAGAUAUGAAGAUGGUGAUAUUAGAGUCAUGCUAGUUGAGUAGUUGUGAAUUUGAGAGAUACUUGUGUUAAAGUUUGUGAUUCCCGUAGCAUGCACAUAUGCUGAACCGUUAUGUGACGAAGUCGGAGCAUGAUUUAUUUUUUGAUUGUCUUCCUUAUGAGUGGUGGUCGGGGACGAGUGAUGGUCUUUUCCUACCAAUCUAUCCCCCCUAGGAGCAUGCACGUAGUACUUCGUUUUGAUAACUAAUAGAUUUUUGCAAUAAGUAUGUGAGUUCUUUAUGACUAAUGUUGAGUCCAUGGAUUAUACGCACUCUCACCCUUCCACCAUUGCUAGCCUCUCUUGUGCCAUGCAACUUUCGUUGGUACCAUACACCCACCAUAUACCUUCCUCAAAACAGCCACCAUACCUACCUAUUAUGGCAUUUCCAUAUCCAUUCCAAGAUAUACUGCCAUGCAACUUUCCACCGUUCCAUUUAUUAUGACACGCUUCAUCAUUGUCAUAUUGCUUUGCAUGAUCAUGUAGUUGACAUCGUAUUUGUGGCAAAGCCACCUUAAUAAUUCUUUCAUACAUGUCACUCUCGAUUCAUUGCACAUCCCGGUACACCGCCGGAGGCACUCAUAUAGAGUCAUAUUUUGUUCUAAGUAUCGAGUUGUAAUUCUUGAGUUGUAAGUAAAUAAAAGUGUGAUGGUCAUCAUUAUUAGAGAAUUGUCCCAUGUGAGGAAGGGAUGAUGGAGACUAUGAUUCCCCCACAAGUCGGGAUGAAACUCCGGACGAAAAAAUAAAAAAAAAAGAGAAAAAAGAGGCCAUAAAAAAAGAUGGCCCCCAAAAAAACAAAAAACAAAUGAGAGAAAAAGUGAGAAGGGGCAAUGCUACUAUCCUUUUACCACACUUGUGUUUCAAAGUAGCACCAUGAUCUUCAUGAUAGAGAGUCUCCUAUGUUGUCACUUUCAUAUACUAGUGGGAAUUUUCGUUAUAGAACUUGGCUUGUAUAUUCCAAUGAUGGGCUUCCUCAAAAUGCCCUAGUCCUUUGUGAGCAAGCGAGUUGGAUGCACACCCACUUAGUUCCUUUUUGAGCUUUCAUACACUUAUAGCUCUAGUGCAUCUGUUGCAUGGCAACCCAACUCACUCACAUUGAUAUCUAUUGAUGGGCAUGUCCAUAAGCCCGUGGAUACGCCUAGUUUAUGUGAGACUAUCUUCUCCUUUUUGUCUUCUCCACAACCACCAUUCUAUUCCACCUAUAGUGCUAUGUCCAUGGCUCACGAUCAUGUAUUGCGUGCAGAUUGAAAAAGUUUGACAACAUCAAAAGUAUGAAACAAUUGCUUGGCUUGUCCAUGGGGUUGUGCAUGAUUUAAAUAUUUUGUGUGAUGAAGAUAGAGCAUAGCCAGGCUAUAUGAUUUUGUAGGGAUAGCUUUCUUUGGCCAUGUUAUUUUGAGAAGACAUGAUUGCUUUAUUAGUAUGCUUGAAGUAUUAUUGUUUUUAUGUCAAUAUUAAUUAAGCUUUUGUUUUGAAUCUUAUGGAUCUGAACAUUCAUGCCACAAUAAAGAAAAUUACAUUGAUAAUUAUGUUAGGUAGCAUUCCACAUCAAAGAUUCUGUUUUUAUCAUUUACCUACUCGAGGACGAGCAGGAAUUAAGCUUGGGGAUGCUUGAUACGUCUCCAACGUAUCUAUAGAUUGGUUUGUAUGUGUUUCGAUAAAUAGAUCUGAAUAAAACGCGAGAUAAAAUAAAUGAAGAAAAAGUGCAGCAAGAUAUUUUUGCGUUUUAAGAAUAAUAGAUCUAAAAAUAAAUGCGAUGGAAAAAUAGAUCGGAAAGCAAUAUGAUAAAAGAUAGACCCGGGGGCCGUAGAUUUCACUAGUGGCUUCUCUCGAAAAAAAUAGCAUACGGUGGGUAAACAAAUUACUGUUGGGCAAUUGAUAGAAGAUCGAAUAAUUAUGAAAAUAUCCAAGGCAAUGAUCAAUAUAUCGGUAUCACGUCCAAGAUUAGAAGCCCGACUCCUGCCUGCAUCUACUACUAUUACUCCACACAUCGACCGCUUUCCAACAUGCAUCUAGUGUAUUGAGUUCAUGGAGAAACGGAGUAAUGCAAUAAGAACGAUGACAUGAUGUUGCAAGAUAUAUUCAUGUAGGAAUAGACCCCAUCUUAUUAUCCUUAAUAGAACGAUACAUGCGUGCCUCGCUGCCCCUUCUGUCACUGGGAGUGGACACCGCAAGAUCAAACCCAUCACCAAGCACCUCUUCCCAUGGCAAGAAAAAUCGAUCUAGUUGGCCUAACUAGACCAAAGAUUCGAAGGAGAAAUACAAGGCUAUAAAUAAUCAUGCGUAUGAGAUAUCAAAGAAGAAUCAAAUAAUAUUCAUGGAUAUAGAUCUGAUCAUAAACUCAAAGUUCAUCGGAUCCCAACAAACACACCACAAAAAGGUUUACAUAAAAUAGAUCACCAAGACACCAUUGUAUUAAGAAUCAAAAAGAGAGAAGAAGCCAUCUGGCUACAAUCUACGGACCCAUGACUACUUACGCAUCGUCGGAGAGGCACCAAUGAGGAUGAUGAACCCCUCCGUGAUGGUGUCUAGAUUGGAUCUCGUGGUUCUGGAACUUGCGGUGGCUGGAAUUGUGUUUCGUUUAGUCCCCUAGGGUUUCUGGAAUAUUUGGGAAUUUAUAGAGCGAAGAGGCGGUGCAGAGGACCUCCAUGGGGUCCACCACACACCAGGGCACGCCUGGGCUCUUGGGCGCGCCCUGGUGUCUGCUGGUCCCCAUGAGGAUCCCCUUUGGUGCUUCCUUGGCUCCCAAGCUAAUUUCUGGUCCAAAAAAUCUCCAAAUAUUUUCGUGGCAUCUGGACUUCAUUUGGUAGGGAUAUUCCGCAAAGUAAAAAACAAGUAACAAACAACAACUAGCACUGGGGACUAUGUCAAUAGGUUUAGUCCCAAAAAUGAUGUAAAGUUGCUAUAAAAUGAUUGUAAAACAUCCAAGAAUGAUAAUAUAACAACAUGGAAGAAUAAAAAAAUAUAGAUACAUUGGAGACGUAUCAGUUCCCAUUCAUCUUGUAAUUUCCUUCGUAUUGACACUUCCAAAUGUAACUUUUCUUCAUGAGUUUUAAUCAUUGCUUCUACAAUAUGUUUAGUAAAAGCUUUGUUUUAUUCGUAAGCGUUAGGUGAAUUAAUCAUGGAUUGCAACAAGUAAAUAUAUUCAAUGAAAGAACAACGAUCAUAAUUAAAGUCCUUGUAAUUCAAAGUAGUGGGGGCAUCACUAUCUAAAGUUUUGCCCUCUUCGAACCCACUUUUGUUGUUUUUAUCAUGAAGAUCAUAACCCUCCGAACAAUUGGGACACCUUCUAAUUAAAGCUGACUCAUCCCUAGUCCCUUUGUCAUCAAGUUUUAUAUUACUAAACAAAGAUUCAAUAGGUGCCACACCAAUCAUUUUAGUGUCUUAAUCAUUAAUGUUGUAAAAACCAGGUGCUGGCGCUUUUUUUAGAAAUUCGCAUCUAGCCUCCUCAUCCUUUCAAUUCUUUUUCUACUCUCAUCUAUAGUGACUUGGAUAGACCUUAAAGAUUAAUAUAUUUCAUCGUUUUAUGUGGAUUUUUUUAAUUUUGAGACUAUACACAGCAUGAGCAAUUCCAUCCAUGUUUCUAUACAUAUGAUCAACCUUGUUUAGUUUGUAUUCUACCAUAGCAUUGAAAAUCUUUUGAGAACUAAUAACUUAUUUAAUGUUGUUUUCAUGUUCAGUAGGUAUACUAUAAUUAUUUGAUGAGUUACCAUAGGAAUUACCAUAAGGUUUAGAGGGAUUACCGAGAUACGGUCUAGGGUUGAAAUUCCCUCUAUAAGCAUUGUUGUUGAAAUUAUUUUUAGCGACAAAAUUCACAUCAAUAGCAUGAUUAUUUUUCUCAAUCCAACUAGAUAAUGGGAUAUCAUUAGGAUCAACAUGAGCAUUCUUACUAUUAAGCAUAUUCAUAACAGCAUCCAAUCUAUCACUCAGAGUCAAAACUUCUUCGACACAGUUAACCUUCUUACCAGUUGGAGCUUGUUCAGUGUGCCAUUGGGAAUAAUUUGCUGUCAUAUAAUCAAGAAGCUUCGUGGCUUCUCCUAAUGUAAUCCCCAUAAGUGUACCACCUGCACCAGAGUAUAGAAGAUUUCUCGAGACAAAGUUUACUCCCGCAUAAUUUUUUUUUACUAUCAUUCAUAAGUUUAAUCCAUGAGUGGGACAAUUUUUUAUCAUUAAUUUCAUUUUCCCAAAAGUUUUGCAACAUGUUCUUGCUCAUGUUGUUUAAUUUCAUGAUUUUAUUUCUAACAAACAUUAUCAUAGCGGGAGGGAAAUACUUAGCAAUAAAAGCAUCCUUGAAUCAAUACUAUUGCGAGGUAAGGAUGAAAAGCAAGUUUUAGCUUUGUCCCUUAAUGAGAAGGGAAAUAAUUUCAACUUAACAGUAUGAUUAUCCACAUAUUUUUUUUUUGCAUAUCACAUAAUUCAACGAAUGUACUAAGAUGGUAUGCAACAUCUUCAUUAUGAUUUCUAGCAAAUUGUUCUUUCAUAAUAAGAUUUAGCAAUGCAACAUUAAUAUCAUAUGACUCCGCACUAGUGGAGGGAGGAGCAGUUGGAGUACUAAUAAAAUCAUUGUUAUUAGUAUUUGAGAAGUCACAUAACUUAGUAUUUUCUUGAGACAUAAUGGAAACUCAAGCAAGCAAGCAAAAUAAACUAUUUUUAUGUAUUUGAUUUUUUUGACGAGACUAAUAAAGGAAAAUAAAAAGUAGAACAUUUAAAUGAUAAUGUGUAUAUAAAGGGACCUUGAUUGUUUGAUGGAGUCUACGUGGUAAUGGCACCAGAAAUUCUUUCUGCUACUUGUGAGCUGCGUUGCGAUUUUCCCUGAAGAGGAAGGGUGAAGCAAUAUAGUAGUGGAUAGUAUUUUCCUCAGUAGAAAAUGAAGGUUGUCAAACCAAGAUGAGAUUCACACAAAUGACCUUUAGCAAUACCUACACACACAAGAGCAAAUACUUGCACCCAACGCGGGCAAGUGGGUCGUCAAUCCCCUUGUACUCGUUACUUGCAAGGAUCAAAUCUUGUAUUUCUAGAUAAAUUGCAAAGUGAACUAAAAGUAAAUAAAUUGAAGCAAGGUAUUUCGGGUUUCAGUACUAUGAUUAAAAUAGACCUAGGGUCCAUAGUUUUCACUAGAGGCAUGCAUCUCUCAUAAAGAAAUAGCAUAUGGUGGGUAGACAAAUUACUGUUGGGCACUUGAUAGAAAAGCGCAUAGUUAUGACGUUAUUCAUGGCAUGGUCAUAGAUAGGAAUUACGUCCAUGACAAGUAGAAUGACUCCUGCCUACAUCUACUACUAUUACUCCACUUUGAGAGCACAUCUAUGAUUGGCUCUCUAUGUAUUAAUUUCAUGAUGAACAAAGUAAUGCAUGAAAUAUGAUGGCAUAAUGUAGACGGAAUAAAGCCAAGCAAUAUGAAUAAACCCCAUCAUUUUUCCCUUAGUAUAAACAAUACAAAUAAGUGCCUCGCUACCCCUCUUGUCACAGAGUGAGGACAUCUCAAUAUUGAACCUACUACAAAGGACCCCUCCUGCUGAAGAUAAAUCAAUGUAGUUGGCCAAACCAAAUGGAUAGAUCGGAGAGAAAUACAAAGCUAUGACAAUCACACAUAAUAAAGUUCAGAAACGACUCAAUUACUUUCAAUGAAUAAUAUAAUCAUAAACCCACAAUACAUCAGAUACCAACAAACGCACCACAAAAUAAGAUUAUAUUGAAUAGAACUCGAAGGAGAACAAUGUAUUGAAGAUCAAAGAGAAAGAGAGAGAGAGAGAGAGAGAGAGAGAGAGAGAUAGAGAGAGAGAGAUCUUAUAUGUUAUAUUUACUAAUUGGAGGCACCAAUCGAGGCUCAACGUUAAUCGUCAAAAAGUAAAGAAAUUAGCCAUACGAUUUCCUUAUCAAGUAUCUAGAACCGUUGGAUGAAGUUCCUCAGAAGUCCAUGCCAUGUGUCCCACGUGCACUACUCAUUAGCAAACUCUUCACGGGCUAUGACUAAAAGAGCUCCUCCCUGGGCAGCCAAAAUAGGUGUCUCCCUCGCAGCCCAUGAUGCAUCGGCGAGAGGUGAGACUCCCCGCCGUCCUCAUCACAUAUCCUUUCUGCAGUUUCCAUGUUGUCUCAACUUCCACGCUGCAAUCCAUCUACCAAAUCCAACCAACCCCUCCCUUAUUCCCUUUUCGUUGCUAGCCAUUGAAUCUCCUCUGCCCGAAGCCCCCAAGUUUGCUGCAAUCCAUGUUGGCUGAUGUAGCUAAGGAGGAGGUCCUUUCAAUCUCAGUUUCUAUAUCCUAGUCACAUUGUAAUCCAUGAUGUACGAUGGUUUGGAGAAGGAUGUGCACUCACCAAGUUUUAAAAUCAGAUCGGGCAGCGGCCAUUGUUAGUGUCAUUGUAGAUAAGAGAAAAUAUAUGGUCUAUGGCAGACUUGCGGUCUAUAUUGGUGGAGUAUGUCACCAGCAGUCUUAUCCCCAUGAUGAAGGCAAGUAACCAAUUAUCCUUGAAUGCCGAUCAAUCAGAUUAGUCCCAAAAAUCUGAUCAACAAAAUUUGGUGUUGUUGGUGUCCAUCUAUCGGCACUACUCCCGACCAAUUUCUAAAACAGGGAAUAACAACAUAAAAGUGUGUGAUUCAGAUCUUGAAGUAUAUCAAGCAAAGUAGGCUUCUGUACCAUGUCCCAGAUUCAACAGAACUGGAGUAUUUCAUUCGUUUCCAUGGAUCUAUCAAGGUUAAUGCAAACUUGAAGAUGGUAGAACUGCUUGAAGGUUAGCACACAAUGAAUACAAUGGAUUUGCUCUGAGAAAGGUGAUUUUUGUUCAUGUUCCUGAUGAAUAAAGACCACAAUUAUUGUAGUUUUGUCCCCUAUUGUUCAGUUAACGGAUGAUAGUGGCAUGGUGAUGCUCUGUUUCUGCUUCACAUGGCUCUAUGCUGGCAAAACAUACAGGUUUAUGUGUUCUGUAGGGAUGGACUACCUAUCCUCCAGCGGCAGUUUGUAUUCCCUACAGCAGGGUUGGGCGUUAACUACAGGCUGGAACUAAUAAAACACCAGCAAGCAGAGGUUCACUUUGAGAUUUAUAGGAGGCUUUACAGAUUUUUCCCCAAGUCACUCUCUCUGUUAGUCAAAAAAAUUACUCUAUAGAUAGCACUCUUCUAUAUUAAUCCUUUGAAUUACAGGUUAAAUAUAUGAGUAUCUACGGUUCAGCGUGAUAUAUCUAAUUAUUAUGCUUUCCAAUGCUAAAUAAAGGUACGUGUCCUAGACUUUAAAUAGUUUCCUAUAUGUUUUACACUAGAGUUAUAUACCAACUUCUCAGAUUUCUCAAUGUCAUGCCUAAUAGAGGUUAUAAUCAAUGGUCUGUAGUUAGUUCUUGCUGGCUUCUCCCACAUUCCCUUGAACUCAAUAUUAUUACAGUCGUUGGUGAGGAGAGGAACCCAACCUUUGUCGUAUGGUUCCGUUAGAUUAGGAAAUUUCUUGACUCAUCAGUCAUAUGUGCUUGAAAAUUACGUUAGACUGACAAGGCCAGAUUUUAACUAUAUUAUUAUACUAUCCUUUGUGGAUUCAAGAUCAGAGGAGAUAAAAUAUAUAAUUAUGGAUCUAAAGAUAUGAUCUUCCACCGAAUAAACCAACUAGCAUCAACUACUAGAUAUAAUCAACACUACUAGCAACCCACAUGUCGUAAUCUGACAUUUUAGGAAAAAGAUUGAAUACAAGAGCUGAAUUAGGGUUUGAGAUGAGAUGAUGCUGGUGAAUAUGUUAAUGUUGAUGAGUCCUCCUACGAUGAAAGUAAUGCUAGUGAUGUCGAUGGCUUCGAUUACCCCCUCCCGGAGGGAAGUGUCCUCGGCGGAUUUGCUUUGACGGAGUGAAAAAGAGCUCCUGCACAGGUUCCGCCUUGAGAUGGCGGCGCUUCAUCCCAAAAGUCUUCUUCUAUUUUUUCUAGGACAAAUGGACUCAUAUAGCAAAAGGAGGACACCAGAGGGCUUCUGUGGGCCCCACGAGGCAUCAGGGCGCGCCUAGGGGGUAGGGUGCGCCCCUUGCCUUGUGGGCCCAUGGUUGCUCCUUUCCAAUACUUAUUUCUUCCGGUAUCUUUUAUAUAUUCCAAAAUAAUUCUUCAUAAAAAUUUAGGUCAUUUGGAGCUUCGGAGAAUAGCUAUCUCUGUUGUAGUUCUUUCAGGUUCGUAAUUCCAACUGCUGGUAAUCUCCCUCUUCAUUAAAAUAUUGGUAUUAGGGAGAAAAGGCUUUAGUAUUGCAUCAACUCCCCAAGCUUAGACCUCGCUUGUCCUCAAGCGAAAGCCGAAAUCGAUAAUCAUGACCACAUGUUUAAAGAAAGAGGCGUGGAUAAAAAAUGCAGACAUAGAAGCAUCAUGAUCAUUAUUACAAUAGUAACUAUUCAUGAUAAAACUUCUCAUGAUCAAGUAACUAUUCAUCCACAAUCUAGAGUAUAAACCAUAAACUUUUUUGAAAACUAACGAACAAUGUUCUCAGUCAUUGAUGGAAUUACAAUUCACCGCAUUUGGGUUUAGCAAGUUUACAUACUCAACUAUCAUUUAGUCUUCCAUGAUUACUGACACUCAAAGCAUAUUUUUGGAGCAAACGUUUCUGUCAGACACAUAGGAAGAUGGGGGUUUAUUGCUUCACAUCCCAACUUGUUUACCUCAAGGAUAAUGUCAACAUAAUAACCCAUUAGUACCCACAUUAGACUGUAUAUAUGUGCUUGGAUCUUUUCCCUACCACAUAAUGCUUGCCAAGUGUAGAAUAAAUAAGGGUGGAAUAAGGAUGAAUAUUGUUGACUCUAUGGUAAAAUCUGAAUAGUAAAAGAUAGUCCCUUCGUAGAGGGGAGCAGAGUUUAUCAUGCUUUUUCAUUUGGAUGUGCACACUCUUAAUGCAAAGGAAGGUCACUUUAUAUUACCCCUUGUGAUAGCAACCUUCGUUAUGAAAUAUGUCGCUUUUAUUUCUUUACCAUCAAAAGUUUGUACAAAUAUUAUUUUCCUUUACAAUAAAAGAUCAUAUAUAUUUAGGAGAACUUUUUAUUGCUUUGGACCGAUAACAACUUACUUGAAGGAUCUUAUUACUUAGAUUGAAACAAGAAAGUAAAGCAAUGAAACUCAAACUACUCUUUAUUAUAUAACUCUCACACACAAUUACAUCGAUAGAUAGAUCACGAAACAAGCACUUGGAAACUACUUCAUACUAAUAUUUAUUCUUCUAUGACAUGAAAUAACUAAGGAUCGAAAUAAGAUACAUAAUGAUGAUAAAAGUGAUGGUGAUACGAUGUCGGGGCCCCUCCCUCAAGCUUGGAACAAGCAAAGGGUAAUGCCCAUACCGGUGUACUCAAGUUUCCUUCCUUAGUCAUGAUGGUGAUGAAGUGGUAGGCUUGUUAUCCGCCUUCCAAGCUUAUAACGAAUUCAUCUUCUUGACGAUCUCAAAGAGCACGAGAUUUUGUUCUUCUAGGGCAAUAAUUUCUACAAAGCAAAGAUCACUCUUUAAUUCCAAUUCUCUACAAUCAAAGAUCAUGAAAAUUGCCUACGAAAAACUAUUCUAUCCACUUAACACAUUGCUUUGGAUACUACUAACAACAGAACGUCUGAGCCAAAGAACAAAGGAUGACAAAACCAAUAUAAAACAGGAAUAUAACCUGCGAAGGAACACGUCGACGAUUUUCACUCCAGGUGGAUAACUAGGCAUCAUCCAGCAGUCCGAAAUGCAUGCCAAAUGAACUAGUUCUGCACAUCAUCUCAUUGUCCACAAAAUGCAUGGAUUACCAUUUAUUUUGUUAACUUGUUAAUAGAUUGCUAUGUGAACGAAAGAGACCAUCCCCGAUCGAUAGCAUAGGCCAUUACCAAAUGCGUGCAAUUGUGCUGACUGGAACACCAAAACAGCAGAUCCAAACACUUAUCAUCAGCUCGAUGGCCGGAACCACAAUCAAGAACGACUCGACUACCGGACCAUCUCGGAGAGAGAGAGAGGCUUCUGACCCUACAAGAAAUAGUUUCAGCUUCACCUGGUGUUCACAAUGAAAAACAGAUUUUGAAUAUGUGAACCGCGACACUGCAAUUGGAAUAGCCCUUCAAGUAUAAACAAUACUGACAGCAGAAAUGAAAAUCUUUGCUAAAAUGCAACUUGAUGUUUCCUGAAAUUCAUAAUCAUAAGAUGUUGUCUCAUAAACUUCUGCGAUUAGUGAACUUUUACAUAUUUACUAGUCAAGAGUUUUACUGUGUAAGCAUCGCAUGUUUAGGAGAUAACAAUUCAUCUAAGCAUUAUACUACCACCGUUCCAAAAUAAAAGUUGCGACUUAGUAUAAUUUUAGUACUAAGUUGUAUUAAGUUAGCAACACUUAUUUCGGGAUGGAGGGGGUACAAGUUAAGAGCAUACUACGAGGUUCAGGUACUAAGUAGAGCUCAUAUAAAAGAGUACCUCUAUCUAAACAUUUAAGCCAUGAAGUACAACCCUGACCACAAAGAUGUAUAUUACAAGAAGAAUAUAACCUACAGCAGCUCUACACACACCACCCUAAAGCAGCAAAUUAAAAUACACACAGGUACAAACCAAACAGUUUUGUCCUAACAAUUAGUACUUCUAUGUCUUGACAGAAAAAUAGUCCCACCAUCUCUAGACACAUGGAUGUACAAAUGGAAUGUUGGAACCAUGCAAGGCAUCAUAAAACAUGAUCAACAUCAUAAACACAAGGCAUCAUCAUACAAUCAGAAUAGUCCCAUAUCCAUUCGGAAGGAAAAUUUAAUAUGUUAAAUGCCUAGCACAUUCGUGUUCUUGAUUAGCUAUGAACCAUUCGGUGAGCAUUGUUUUAUGUACAUUGGAAUUUUGAAUCACCCUGUCUAAUCAGAAUUCCUCAUGCAAGAUCACUUUGUUGAUGCCAGGAAGAUGGACCACCAACCUUUCAACAGAGAUUUAUUGGCCAUGUAUAUCAAACGCAAACAAAAAUAAGAAAGGAAUGGAAACAACGCCGACUAUCCUAUCAUUGGGAGUUGACUUAAAAUAUAAAUUUACACUGGUAAACAAUUAAACAUUGCAGCGUGGGACAUUCAUUCAAAAUUUGAAUUGAAGGAACAAUAUAUUAUUAGCAAUCAAUUGUCCCCAUGAAUACAACGAAUACAACGACACAGUAAAAAUAUAUCCAGUGGUAAAGUUGGAAGCAGACCUAUACAAUGCGCAUAUUGUAUUUCCUUGUAACAAUAAAUAAACUGUAUCAUCACGGUGUGUAAACUAGAACCUAGCAUUAGGACGUAAAAAAUUUCUGCACGUACAAUAGGGAAUUACAAACAAAAUUAAUAACUGAAAAAUACUAAUUACCAACCAGCAUACUGCCCAUCAUAAUUAAUAUUUAAGAAAAAUAUAUACACUACUUCUCUUCUCCCCUCUAAUGCCAAUGAUGUUACAACAGCUCGAUACAUUUGCAGAUCGGCUGACAUUCGGUGAUCACUUCUUUCUCACCUCUUGUUCUUCAAACAAAUUCCAAAAAUAUAUCAAACCUUGCACUACUUUAGGUUUCAGCUUCUGCUGAAAAAUCUUUUCUUAAAAUGAUAUUGACAUGCCUUUGCGCAAAAAAAAAAUGAUAUUGACAUGCCAAAUAGAAAGCCCAAAAAGGUUGGGUUGAAGUUGCUAAUUAGCAGCAAUUUGAUUUAUCAACAGAAUCAAGUACGGCCGUUUCUAAGUGGUUCCACGUGGGUUUUCAAACUAAAUAAUAAAGACCCUGAACCUGAUUUCCUUCAGCUCCUCAUCAAGCUACUGCUCUGAUUCUUUUAUCGCCAUUUAAUCUGCGGAUGCACAGGGAACAGGGAAUAUGAAACUCAUGUGAGAGAGUGGCAUAGGUGUAAAUAUAAUGUCCUGUACUUUUUGCUAGCAUAUCUAUAAUACCUGGAUGUAUAAUGUGUAUUUGAAACACGUCAGUUAGCUAUUACAUUGAUUUGUGAUGCAACCAACAGAUAAAGUUUCUGAACAUAUGAGUUUCCCCCGUCCUCACCAGGUCCAUCAUGCCGUUGCCGUCCUCCACCAGGAACAGCUGCUAUAGCGGAGCGUGCAACAACACCACCCAGCGCUCCGCUGCCCCGACAUAGACCUAGGCCGACGGCAAUGGGCCUAAGCCGACGGCCGUCGGCCGUCGGCAUAGGGUGUUAGUCCGGUAGUGCCACCCAGCGCUCCGCUGCCCCGAGCAGGGGCGCCUAGGUCAAUGGUCGUCGUCAGUAAUGCCGCGUUUGCCUCCUGCUUCAGCCGCGCCACCAGCAUCCCGUGCCGCCUCCUGCGUACAGCGCAGAGCUCCGGCGGUGCUGAAGUGGAGCUCAUGCGCGAGCUCAGGCGUAUGGGUAAAGGGGGAGGAGGGAAGUGAGGAAAAAGAUGGAGAGGCUGCCGGUGCGGUGUGGCUGGUCCUGUGCGGAUCCAUGGUGCGUGCGGAAGGUAGAUGAGGCGUGCUCGGGCCUCUCCUGAUGGCGGCGACGCGUGAGGGCUGGGGGAGCCUGCUCGUGGGAAGUGGAAUAGGAAGAUGGGAGGUUGUGUUGGUGGAGGAGGAGGAGGAGAGGAAUAACGACUAAUCGCCGGGAAGCCGCGCAUGAUCUUCCGCCGUGCAAGUGUAGCGGAGUGGCUCAUUUUCCCUAUCUGCAACGAAGGGUGGAAAUUUGGGAGGAAAGUGGAGGACGUGUGAAGGUGGGAGGAGGAAGGGAGAGGAUGUGGGCGACCGACAAUUGGGAGUUUUCUAGAGAAUGCGGGAUAGGUCGGGAGCGGAAGAAAAUAUCUACCGACCAGAUCGGUCCAGAGAAA